UUUUUUUUUAGUGUUGCGACGGCGCCCUGGCGUACGCACCGCAACCGCCGAGCUCCGCCACGCCUUCUUGUUUUUUUUUAGUGUUGCGACGGCGCCCUGGCGUGCCGGAAUCCUUUCACGCCCACUGUUUGCUGAGCUGCACUUGGUUCCAAAAGGAAUUACUAGAGGAAGAGAAACAUGAGAACUUACUGUUGCUAAUUGUUUUCCCCUUCUUUUGUGCCAAGCCCUCUCCUAUAGUCUUAUUCCAUCAGCAGUGGUACUGCAUCACAAAGAGCAUAUACUGUAUAUCACAACUGAAAAUUACUCGACAGCAGUUCAAAGGAAGUCCUGUUUGGCUGUCUGCGUCAUUAGUUACCUUUCUAUCUCAUACUGUGAACUUGUGAAGACUAUGCCCCCUGUCAAGAUCAUGUUCAGUACACUGUUUGUGUUACCAUCUUCCUGCAAGAACUGGUGCUACUGGCGUAAAAAAGAACAGCGCAACUACACCUGGACAGUUGAUGUAGAGACAACAUCAUGUUUGCACUGGUUUACUCUGUAUUUUCGUGUGAAAUAGGAUAUAUUCAGAAUUCUAAUUGUGAGUUUCUUUCAUACCAUUGAUGCUGGAGCUUUCAUGUGGUUUGGAGCUUGCCAUGGAAGCAUUCAUAGCAUAAAUUUGUGCAAGCUACUCCCUCCGUCCCAUAAUAUAAGAACGUUUUUCACACUAGUGUAGUGUCAAAAACGUUCUUAUAUUAUGGGACGGAGGGAGUAGCAUUCAUCUUGAGCCCCUCGGACACAAACUUGUGCAUUGUAGGGUGUCUUGCUUAUGGUUUUGACCUAAAUUACUUUGCUGUUGUUAUGUUGACUAUGAAUUGAAAAAAGAACUUUAACAUCUGAUCACAAUACUUAAGUUGAUUUAAGUACUACUUGCUAUAUUUUUUAUCCAUAUAUCUAAUCCAGGGCUGGCUUUAAUUUGGUUUUUAUAUGUUUGGUAAGAUAAUCCAGUGAAGUCUAAAUCCAUAACUAAUGCUUGAGGAAAACAAUUAUAAGUAUAUGCAAAUGCAUAUCUGUUUGGCUAUAAAAUAGGUGUACCUUUUAACCAUCCAUACCUAGCUGAAAAGGUUAAUCCUUGGAUUUUUACAUCGUCCAGCUAAAAGUUUACAGAAGAAGCCAGCUAUGAGGACUCCUGGUCAUGCUAAGAAGGUAAUUCGAAUGGAACAACUGUCUUUUGUUCAUCAGAUAUUGUUAUCCUGAUGGUUAGGUUUCAGAGAACUAUACUUACUAUAAUUUUGUCACUGAGAACUUGUAUGUCAGUAUGUAUUCAUAACUACAUUAACAUUUUUGCAGGUGAAAAAUGUGACGAAUGAUGCAAUUGACGGCAAGCGGGGCAUGAUCUACAUUCCAGACCAGAAGGUUUGUGUCUAAAUUGUUUUAUUAAUAGUUCUGAAGUUUAAAUUUAACCUAUUGGUAUGCUAAUCCGCUUCAUGUUUUAUUUUACUGAAAGAUUUCAAAAUUGACCUUAACAAAAGACAUAAAGGGUCUGAAGCGGGAGCGCCGUGACGCCAAGAAAAACAAGGGGCACUUGAAGAAGCAAAAGGUCAACCAUGAGUGAAUAAUACAGUCAUCAUAUAUUGUCGAACAUAUUCUGUUUUUCAUCAUCAAUAUCAUUAAUGCUUGUUCCAGAGUUAUUUUUAGUCUGCAUUCGGUGUUGAGUUAGCUAGGUAGUUCUGUAUCAACUUUUAGAUACAAUGAUGAUGGAACUUACGGUGCUAUAUGUCAUGGUUCGUGUUCUUGGCCUUGGUCACCAUAAUAUUGUCCAUAUUCUUUGGUUUCAAUCAUGUACAGCCUUUAUCAUCGAUCAAAAUAAAGUUUCACUAUGCUUGUUUCAGAUUUGAUGUGACAAGUCGGCUAAUUAACGUUUUGUAUCAGUUCAAAUGCUAACAAAGCUUGCUUCUACAGCUUAGUUAUUUUUACUUUUUAUGUGUCCUUUAAUUAGAUUUGUGUUGUAUACUGUGUCCCACAUUUGCUGAGAUAAAUCAUCGAUCUUCCAAUUCUAUAACAGUUUAUGAAAUCAGUCAACGUCCCACCCAGUACAGAUUCCAUUGCUGCCGGCAGCUAACGUUAACUCUGUUUCAACAUUUUGUUUUCAGCUGAGGAAGAAGAAGAAGCCCGCUCCCAGGAGUGCAAAAUGAAGGCGAGUGAAAGCCAUGACUCAAGUGACACGCACCAGCUGAACCAAUUGUCUCCUUAGCGUCUUAACAUCGUCCGUAAAAUUUAAGCUUUGUACUGGCUACCUUAAAGUCACUGCCGGGUUUAAACACCUUAAUCAUCACAGCGAUCUUUUGAAAAUAGUUUCUGCCAAAUGCAAGGUCUUAUAUAUGGGUCUAGUGUAGUGUCAAAAACGCUCUUAUAUUAUGGGACGGAGGGAGUAGCAUUCUUUUUCUUUUAUGAGUAGAUUUUUAAUUGUAGUACUGCUAUUUGCAGCAUCUUAUCUCAAUAUAGCAACCACUGCCUAUGAAACAACAACCUUUGUAGAAAGGGGAUUGUUGAUGGGAGAGGAUUGCGGAUGAGAGCGAAAAUUGGGGAUUUUUACAUUAAAGCAAGCUUGAUUACUAGCCAUCGUUGGGCAUUUCGCCUGGUACAAAGCUCCGCGACUAGUGUUGGAAUUUCAGUUCAAACCAAGGAUGAUCAGCACAGCAGCUACAACCUUGGGCAUACAACCUUGGUGCUUGAGGUACUAGUCGGCAGCUACUUUUUACUUUCAGCUGGUACGAGUGAUUAGGCGAGUGCUUUAAGCAUUCACAUACACUUUGUCAAGUCAUCCAUCUGUGCCUAAGCCGAGCACACAGAUCAUAACCUGAUUCACUGCAUCAUCCUUCAUAUAAUAUGCAGCUACUCCCUCCGUUCGGAAUUACUUGUCUCGAGAAUGGAUGUAUCUAGAACUAAAAUACAUCUAGAUACAUCUAAUUUUGCGACAAGUAAUUCCGAACGGAGGGAGUACGUUCUGUCUUUUCCCAUCAUCCAUAAUCUUGAGUAUAAUGUGCAUCUACGUUCUUUCUCUUCCUGCUGUCGUCUAGUACACGAGAUGCGUGAAACAGGGCACGAGUAGCAGUAGCUUCUCUUACGUAUAGCCGUAGUUCCGUAGCAGAAUCAGCAAAUUUUGGCAGAUGUUGCUUUGCUCCCUGCCAAUCACAAGUUCACAACAGACGCAUCAGUGUACUUCAGCACAACCCUCAAACUCUGGAUAUACACCUGAUGAAUUCUGUCACAAAAACGAGAAAUAGUAAUUUAUAAACCGAUUGAACUCGCGCAGACGCUCUGGUGCUUCUCCUUGGCGAGCCAGGCAUUUUUUUUUGUGGGUAAUAGUGCAGUACCUAUCAAUUCUGAGAGCCCGGCCACGGUUCUCUGCUGGUGACGGAGGAAGAGGUCCCUGUAGAGCCACUCUUCUUUUAUCUUACUUUUGAAUGUUGUGAGAGCAAGUAUAAUAAGGUGACAUAAGCAGGCUGUAAGGAUUUAAAUAUUAUAUUGGUGUUGAUCGGAAAAGAGAAAAGGAGAGAGAAGAGAAGCGGAUGUAGACUUACAGCCGGCUGUAUCACAAGCUCCAAGAAACUUUGUGAGAGUGGAAGAUGGAUCCUAUGUUGACAAAGUAGUACUUUCUUAUAGCCAAUUAUUAUACGUGUUGGCUAUUACAUUAAUUAUAAAUGACAUGGCAAUGUGUUAUAGCCAACAGAUGGCUAUAUUAUUAACCAUGCUCUGAGGGCUUCUCUAUCACUUUAGUUUGGGAUCUCGUUUUUCUUUGAGAGAAAACGGGACCAAAACUGGCGAACCGUCUCAUCCGGCUUUUGAAUGAGGAGUGAUAAAUCCCAGAUGUAUGCUUGUCCUCGUCGGCGUAAAUCGUCGGUUGACCCUUCGAUUGUAGCAAUGAGAUGGGUGGUGGGUGGGUUUGAAAAUCUGAUCUCGGCCGAUGUCAUCUUACUCCAACCACUUGCGAGAUCUGAUUGUUGAGGAUUAUUGACUCUUCGGCUAGUCCUGAUGUCGAGCACUGGAAUUUUCCCUCGCGUUCUCCUCGGACCCAAUCUGACGUCGGGGCUAGAGGAAGUUUCUACAAGAUCCGAUCUGACACGAAUCCUGGUUCUUUAUUGUUGACCUGGCCACUUAUCUUAGUCCGGGGAGGGGUCGUCGGAUACUGCCCUGGUGGCAGAUUCGAUGAUGGUCAUGCACCUGCGCCCUAAACCUGACUUGACGUCAGCAUUGGAUCGCGUGCCUCAUACUGGACCUCGGUGUGGCUAAACAACCUUUCUACGAGGGCUGCGCGAGCCCGCAGUGUGCUCCAAAUCACCGGAUCUAAUGAUACGGCAUGGGAUCGAGGUUUUGACCCGCCCUAGGUGGCCAAUCGAAUCGGCGAGGAAGGCAGCGCUGCCGAAAACAAAGAUUUGGCUUGGCACAAAGGUCAUGUCACCGCCAAUCUUGAUUGUCAUCGGAUUGAUGCAACUACAUGGCGAGACCUGCUUGGGCCACCAAAGACAGAGUCGAUUCCGGCAUAUCUUGGGUAGAGGGAACCCCAGCUGGUAGCCUAGAUGUAAUGGUAAGAGAGACAAGAUAUUUUACCCAGGUUUGGGCUCUCUAAGAAGAUAAAACCCUACGUCAUGUUUGUAUUUUAUUGAUUUGGGAAGUAGUACAAAGUAUAGGUUGGUCUACCAUGAGAUCGAUGAUGUCCUCUACCCCCUGGCUUAUAUAGUUACCAUGGAGCCUAGGGUUAUAGUAAGCUUGGCUAUGUAUAAGUGUUGCAGACGAUAGCUAAGUCAUGGAGUAUGCGAAAGUCUUUAAGAAAAUUCCUUCUACGCGCCUCUACGCGCCAUGGGCCGCUUUUGAUGUUGCCGGCUGAUGAACUGGAGUUAAUUGCAAGGAACUACCACACUUCGACACGUUGUGACGAAUCAGUACCACUAGUCACUUUUUUUGCCAUGCAGUGCCAACUCUAAGCCUAAGUGUUGCAAAACGGUCUGACAGCCGUAUAAGUGCGUAUUGACCACGUAUCUAACCUACCGGGCCCACGCGUCAGGUGCCACAGUGGCUUACCCGCACGCACCCGUAUCGGUCGCUCCAUGUAGCCGGGCCCGGUCGAACCCAACCGGAGCCAGCCGCACUCUGUCCCUCUCCUCGCCCCAUCGCCCUCGUUUCUCCAGCCGCCGCUUGCCGCGCAGACCGACGCGUCCGCCACUGCCGCCUGAUACGUCUCCAUCGUAUCUACUUUUGCAAACACGUUUGCCCUUAUUUUGGACUCUAACUUGCAUGAUUUGAAUGUAACUAACCCGUACUAACGAUGUUUUCAGCAGAAUUGCCAUGGUGUUAUUGUUGUGCAGAAAUAAAAGUUCUUGGAAUGACCUAAAAAUCAACGGAGAUUAUUUUUGGAAUAUAUAAAAAAUACUGAAAGAAGAAUCCACGUCAGGGGGCCCACACCCUGUCCAUGAGGGUAGGGGCGCGCCUACCCCCCUGGGCGUGCCCCUGCCUCGUGGGCCCCCUGACGCUCCACCGACCUCAACUCCAACUCCAUAUAUUCGUGUUUGGGGAGAAAAAAAAAUAGAAGAGAAGGAUUCAUCGCGUUUUACGAUACGGAGUCGCCGCCAAGCCCUAAACUCUAUCGGGAGGGCUAAUCUGGAGUCCGUUCGGAGCUCCGGAGAGGGGGAUCCGUCGCCAUCGUCAUCAUCAACCUUCCUCCAUCACCAAUUUCAUGAUGCUCACUGUCGUGCGUGAGUAAUUCCAUCAUGGGCUUGCUGGACGGUGAUGGGUUGGAUGAGAUUUAUCAUGUAAUCGAGUUAGUUUUGUUAGGGUUUGAUCCCUAGUAUCCACUAUGUUCUGAGAUUGAUGUUGCUAUGACUUUGCUAUGCUUAAUGCUUGUCACUAGGGCCCGAGUGCCAUGAUUUCAGAUCUGAACCUAUUAUGUUUUCAUGAAUAUAUGUGAGUUCUUGAUCCUAUCUUGCAAGUCUAUAGUCACCUAUUAUGUGUUAUGAUCCGUUAACCCCGAAGUGACAAUAAUCGAGACCAUUACCGGUGAUGACCGUAGUUUGAGGAGUUCAUGUAUUCACUAUCUGUUAAUGCUUUGGUCCGGUACUCUAUUAAAAGGAGGCCUUAAUAUCCCUUAGUUUCCAAUAGGACCCCGCUGCCACGGGAGGGUAGGACAAAAGAUGUCAUGCAAGUUCUUUUCCAUAAGCACGUAUGAAUAUAUUCGGAAUACAUGCCUACAUUACAUUGAUGAACUAGAGCUAGUUCUGUGCCACCCUAUGUUAUAACCGUUGAAUGAUCGAUUGCAUCCGACAUAAUUCUCCAUCACGGAUCCAAUGCCUACGAGCUUUUCAUAUAUUGUUCUUCGCUUAUUUACUUUUCCGUUGCUACUGUUACAAUCACUAUAAAACCCAAAAAUAUUAAUUUUGCUACCGUUACCAUUAUUAUCAUAUUACUUUGCUACUAAAUACCUUGUUGCAGAUAUUAAGUUUCCAGGUGUGGUUGAAUUAACAACUUAGCUGCUAAUACUUGAGAAUAUUCUUUGGCUCCCCUUGUGUUGAAUCAAUAAAUUUGGGUUGAAUACUCUACCCUCGAAAAUUGUUGCGAUCCCCUAUACUUGUGGGUUAUCAAGACUAUUUUCUGGUGCCGUUGCCGGGGAGCAUAGCUCUAUUCUUUGAGUCACUUGGGAUUUAUAUCUGCUUAUCACUAUGAAGAACUUGAAAGAUUAAAGAACCAAGAUUUUCCCUCAACUACGAAGGGAGGUAAGGAAUUAUCAUCUAGCUCUGCACUUGAUUCACCUUCUGUUUUGAGUAAACUUGCGACACCUACACAUGCUAUUGAUUCUGAUAGGUCGCAUGUUAUUGAUGAUGCCACUUCUUCUUUGCAUGAUACUUAUGAUGAAACCACUUCUAUGCUUGAUACUACUGUGCCACUAGGUGAAUUUCUUGAUGAACAACUUGCUAGGGAUAGAGAGAAUGAAAUUAUUGAAACUGAUAAUAUUGAUGAAAGUGAUGAUGAAGAUUCUCCCCCUAGAUAUGAAUUGCCGGUUUUGCCUGAGGGUUGUGUUAUGGAUAAAGAAACUGCUAGAGACUUUCUUGCUUGCAAUGAUAGAUCUGAUCUUAAGAAAUUAUUAGCUAAGCUUAAAGAAAAGUCUUUGAAUGCUAGAAUGAAAUAUGAUCUUGCUUUUGCUACUUCACCUAUCUUUUCACCUAUCUUUAUUACUGAUAAGGAUUAUGAUUUCUCUGUCGAUCAUGAGUGAUACGUCUCCAACGUAUCACAUUAUUGGGCUUUAUAAUCCACUUUCAUAUUAUUUUUGGGACUAACCUAUUAACCGGAGGCCCAGCCCAGAAUUGCUAUUUUUUUGCAUGUUUUAGGAUUUCGAAGAAAAGGAAUAUCAAACGGAGUCCAAACGGAAUGAAACCUUCGGGAACGUGAUUUUCUCAACGAACAAGACCCGGGAGACUUGGACCCUACGUCAAGAAAUAAAAGAGGAGGCCACGAGGUAGGGGGCGCGCCUUCCCCCCAGGCGCGCCCUCCACCCUCAUGGGCCCCCUGUUGCUCCACCGACGUACUCCUUCCUCCUAUAUAUACCUACGUACCCUCAAACGAUCAGAUACGGAGCCAAAACCCUAAUUCCACCGCCGUAACUUUUUGUAUCCACGAGAUCCCAUCUUGGGGCCUGUUCCGGAGCUCCGCCGGAGGGGGCAUCGAUCACAGAGGGCUUCUACAUCAUCAUCCAAGCCCCUCCGAUGAAGUGUGAGUAGUUUACUUCAGACCUAUGGGUCCAUAGUUAGUAGCUAGAUGGCUUUUUCUCUCUUAUUGGAUCUCAAUACAAUGUUCUCCCCCUCUCUCGUGGAGAUCUAUUCGAUGUAAUCUUCUUUUUGCGGUGUGUUUGUUGAGACCGAUGAAUUGUGGGUUUAUGAUCCAGUCUAUCUAUGAAUAAUAUUUGAAUCUUCUCUGAAUUAUUUUAUGUAUGAUUGGUUAUCUUUGCAAGUCUCUUCGAAUUAUCAGUUUGGUUUGGCCUACUAGAUUGGUUUUUCUUGCCGUGGGAGAAGUGCUUAGCUUUGGGUUCGAUCUUGCGGUGUCCUUUCACAGUGACAUAAAGGGCAGCAAGGCACGUAUUGUAUUUUUGCCAUCGAGGAUAACAAGAUGGGGCUUUUAUCAUAUUGCAUGAAACUAUCCGUCUACAUCAUGUCAUCUUGCUUAAGGCGUUACUCUGUUUUUAACUUAAUACUCUAGAUGCAUGCUGGAUAGCGGUCGAUGAGUGGAGUAAUAGUAGUAGAUGCAGGCAGGAGUCGGUCUACUUGUCUCGGACGUGAUGCGUAUAUACAUGAUAAUACCUAGAUAUUCUCAUGCUCAAUUCUGUCAAUUGCUCAACAGUAAUUUGUUCACCCAUCGUAGAAUACUUAUGCUCUUGAGAGAAGCCACUAGUGAAACCUAUGGCCCCCAGGUCUCUUUCUCAUCAUAUCAAUCUCCAUCACGUUAUUACUGCUUUGCUUUUACUUUUCACUUUGCAUCUCUAUACCAAAAAUACCAAAAAUAUUAUUUAUCAUCUCUAUCAGAUCUCACUUUCGUAAGUGACCGUGAAGGGAUUGACAACCCCUAAGCGCGUUGGUUGUGUUGAGCUAUUGUUUUUGUGUAGGUACGAGGGACUCGUGCGUAGCCUCCUACUGGAUUGAUACCUUGGUUCUCAAAAACUGAGGGCUACUUUGCUGCAUCAUCCUCUCCUCUUCGAGGAAAUCCAACGCAGUGCUCAAGAGGUAGCAAGAAGAAUUUCUGGCGUCGUUGCCGCGGAGUCUGCGCAAAAGUCAACAUACCAAGUACCCAUUACAAUCCCUAUCUCCCACAUUACAUUAUUUGCCAUUUGCCUCUCAUUUGCCUCUCCCCCACUUCACCCUUGUCGUUUUAUUCGCUCUCUCUCUCUCUCUCUCUCUCUCUCUCUCUCUCUCUAUCCUCCCUCUCUUUCUCUAUUUGCCUCUUUUGCUUGUUUUCUUGUGUUACCUUGUGCCUUCCAUUUGCUUGCAUCUUUGCUUGCUAAUAAUCUAUUAUUAUGGAUCCACUUAAAGUGUUCUACUUGGAUCAUCUUCGAUCCUUAUGCGCUCGUGCUGAAACCCCAAUACCCUAACUAGCCAAGUUGAUGGGAAAUCUUUAGAUGAGCAUGCUCAUUUUGUGCGUCAUCGUUUGUCUGAAAAGGGGAAGCUCUUAUGGUAUCAUAUAAAUAGUUUGCUAUGCUAUGCUUGGAAUCUUUGUGAUAUUUAUGAUUUUACUUGUUGCUCUAAGAACCCUAAAAAACACCUUCCCUACCUAUGUGAGUUCAAUGAUAAUGAAAUCUUAUCUUCUUAUGUAAAGGGUGUUUAUAGUUACUAUAAUAUCGAACAAAUUGAAGAAUUUGUCGAUUUUAAGGGUGCUCAUGAAGUUGCUUCUUUGAUUGAAAAGUAUGAUUUCACUCUCAAUAAAUCUGAAAAUUCCAUCAUACUUAAAUAUUGCAAUGAAAACCUUACCCAUAAUGUCUAUGUCCAAGAAUUUAUUGAAAGAAUGACCGUUGCUUCGGAAGAAAAUAAUGAUAUGCAUGAAUCUAUAGAUAAUGAUCAUUCUGAUGAUUUGGUUGAAAUAUCCCUUGAUGAACAUGAUGCUUGCUAUGCUUCUGGCCAUGAUGCCAAUAUUUAUGAAGAUGAAUCUGCUAUAGUUCCUUAUGUUACACAUGAGAUCGUUGCUAUUGCACCCAUACUUGAUAGUUCCUUCGAUGAAAAGCAUGAUUGUAAUGAUGUUAUUAUAAAUUCUCUUAAUGUCAAUUGUGUUAAUGAUAUGCAAAACCCUAAGCUUGGGGAUGCUAGUUUUGCUAUGUCCUCUACUUGUUGCAAUGAUCAUGAUUGGGGUGAUUCUUCUUUUGAUCUUGAAAAUUUAUUUAAACCCCAUGAUGAAUAUGAGAUUGAUUAUAAUGUUUUAAAUAAUAUUGAAAGUGGGUUUGGAAGAAUGUCAACUUUAGAUCCCACAUAUUUGGAGAAUGUUCAAUCUCAUGAAGUUUUUGAUAAAAGUGGGUUUGGAAAGGUCAUGACUUUAGUUAAUGUUGAUCCCACUAUUUCGGAAGAGUGUCAACUUUGCAUGCAUGUGGAUCAAGUUGAGAAUAUUUUAUGUGAUAGCUAUUUUGUUGAAUUUGCUUAUGAUCCUACAUGUAAUUAUUAUGAGAGAGGAAAAUAUGGUGGUAGAAAUUUCCAUGUUACUAAAUUACCUCUCGUUAUGUUGAGAUGGCUAUUGUUUCUUUCCUCUUCCUUGCAUAUGCUAGUUUUUGCUUACCUUGAUAAUUUGUUUGCCUAUAAGAUGCCUAUGCAUAGGAAGUAUGUUAGACUUAUAUGUGUUUGUCACGUGUUUUAUGAUGCCCUCUUUGUGCUUCAAUUCUUGUCUUUCAUGUGAGCAUCAUCAAAAUUAUCAAUGCCUGGCUAUAAGGCUUUAAAGAAAAGCGCUUGUUGGGAGACAACCCAAUAUUUUUCCUUGCUGUUAUUUAAUAAAUAAAUUAUCUAGCCUAUGUUUUGGUUGUGUUUUUUGUGUUUAAUUAGUGUUUGUUCCAAGUAGAACCGUUGGGAAGACUUGGGGAAAGUCAUGUUGAACUUGCUGUAAAAAACAGAAACUUAAGCGCUCACGAGAACUGCUGUCAUUUUUAUUUGGAAAGUGAUAUUUAGUUAAUUCUUUUUGCAGAUGAUUAAUAGAUAAAUUCCUCACGUCCAGAAAUUUAUUUUAGAAUUUUUGGGGUUCCAUAUUUUGCGCUAGCUACAGAUUACUACAGACUGUUCUGUUUUUGACAGAUUCUGUUUUUCGUGUGUUGUUUGCUUAUUUUGAUGAAUCUAUGGCUAGUAAAAUAGUUUAUAAUCCAUAGAGAAGUUGGAAUACAGUAGGUAUAACACCCAUUAAAGAAUGAGUUCAUUACAGUACCUUGAAGUGGUCUUUUGUUUUCUUUCGCUAACGGAGCUCACGAGAUUUUCUACUUUAAGUUUUGUGUUGUGAAGUUUUCAAGUUUUGGGUAAAGAUUUGAUGGAUUAUGGAACAAGGAGUGGAAAGAGCCUAAGCUUGGGGAUGCCCAUGGCACCCCCAAGAUAAUCUAAGGACACCUAAAAGCCAAAGCUUGGGGAUGCCCCGGAAGGCAUCCCCUCUUUCGUCUACUUCCAUCGGUAACUUUACUUGGAGCUAUAUUUUUAUUCACCACAUGAUAUGUGUUUUGCUUGGAGCGUAUUUUAUGAUUUGAAUCUUUGCUUGUUAGUCUACCACAAUCAUCCUUGCUGUACACACCUUUUGAGAGAGCCAUACAUAAUUUGGAAUUUGAUAGAAUACUCUAUGUGCUUCACUUAUAUCUUUUGAGUUAUAUAAUUUUGCUCUAGUGCUUCACUUAUAUCUUUUAGAGCACGGUGGUGGAUUUGUUUUAUAGAAACUAUUGAUCUCUCAUGCUUCACUUAGAUUAUUUUGAGAGUCUUAAUAGCAUGGUAAUUUUCUUAAUAAUAAUAUGCUUGGUAUUCAAGAUUUGUAAAACUUUCUUUUGAGUGCGUUGAAUACUAAGAAAAAAAUUGAUGCUUGAUAAUUGUUUUGAGAUAUGAGGAUGGUGAUAUUAGAGUCAUGCUAGUUGAAUAGUUGUGAAUUUAAGAAAUUCUUGUGUUAAAGUUUGUGAUUCCCGUAGCAUGCACGUAUGGUGAACUGUCAUGUGAUGAAGUCGGAGCAUGAUUUAUUUACUGAUUGUCUUCCUUAUGAGUGGCGGUCGGGGACGAGCGAUGGUAUUUUCCUACCAAUCUAUCCCCCUAGGAGCAUGCGCGUAAUACUUUGCUUUGAUAACUUCUAGAUUUUUGCAAUAAGUAUAUGAGUUCUUUAUGACUAAUGUUGAGUCCAUGGAUUAUAUGCACUUUCCUUCCUUCCACCAUUGCUAGCCUCUCUAAUACCGCGCACUUUUCGCCGGUAUCAUACACCCACCAAAUACCUUCCUCAAAACAGCCACCAUACCUACCUAUGAUGGCAUUUCCAUAGCCAUUCCGAGAUAUAUUGCCAUGCAACUUUCCACCAUUCUGUUCAUUAUGACACGCUCCAUCAUUGUCAUAUUGCUAGCAUGAUCAUGUAGUUGACAUCGUAUUUGUGGCAAAGCCACCGUUCAUAAUUCUUUCAUACAUGUCACUCUUGAUUCAUUGCAUAUCCCGGUACACCGCCGGAGGCAUUCAUAUAGAGUCAUAUUUUGUUCUAAGUAUUGAGUUGUAAUUGUUGAGUUGUAAGAAAAAUAAAAAGUAUGAUGAUCAUCAUUUCUAGAGCAUUGUCCCAAGUGAGGAAAUGAUGAUGGAGACUAUGAUUCCCCCACAAGUCGGGAUGAGACUCUGGACGAAAAAGAAAAAAAAAGAAAAAGAGGCCAUAAAAAAAGAGAAGGCCCAAAAAAAUGAGAGAAAAAGAGAGAAGGGACAAUGUUACUAUCCUUUUACCACACAUGUGCUUCAAAGUAGCACCAUGAUCUUCAUGAUAGAGAGUCUCAUAUGUUGUCACUUUCAUAUACUAGUGGGAAUCUUUCAUUAUAGAACUUGGCUUGUAUAUUCCAAUGAUGGGCUUCCUCAAAAUGCCCUAGGUCUUCAUGAGCAAGCAAGUUGGAUGCACACCCACUUAGUUUCUUUUUGAGCUUUCAUACACUUAUAGCUCUAGUGCAUCCGUUGCAUGGCAAUCCCUACUCACUCACAUUGAUAUCUAUUGAUGGGCAUCUCCAUAGCCCGUUGAUACGCCUAGUUGAUGUGAGACUAUCUUCUCCCUUUUUGUCUUCUCCACAACCACCCUUCUAUUCCACAUAUAGUGCUAUAUCCAUGGCUCACGCUCAUGUAUUGCAUGAAGAUUGAAAAGGUUUGAGAACAUCAAAACUAUGACACAAUUGCUUGGCUUGUCAUCGGGGUUGUGCAUGAUUUAAAUACUUUGUGUGGUGAAGAUGGAGCAUAGCCAGACUAUAUGAUUCUGUAGGGAUAGCUUUCUUUGGCCAUGUUAUUUUGAGAAGACAUGAUUGCUUAGUUAGUAUGCUUGAAGUAUUAUUAUUUUUAUGUCAACAUGAACUUUUGUAUUGAAUCUUUUGAAUAUGAAUAUUCAUACCACAAUUAAGAAGAUUUACAUUGAAAUUAUGCCAAGUAGCACUCCGCAUCAAAAAUUCUAUUUUUAUCAUUUACCUACUCGAGGACGAGCAGGAAUUAAGCUUGGGGAUGCUUGAUACGUCUCCAACGUAUCUAUAAUUUUUUGAUUGCUUAUUAUCUACUGUUUUGGACAUUAUUGGGCUUUAUUAUCCACUUUUAUAUUAUUUUUGGGACUAACCUAUUAACUGGAGGCCCAGCCCAGAAUUGCUGUUUUUUGCCUGUUUUAGGGUUUCGAAGAACAGGAAUAUCAUACGGAGUCCAAACGGAAUGAAACCUUCGGGAACAUGAUUUUCUCACCGAAUACAACUCAGGAGACUUGGACCCUACGUCAAGCCAAUUAACAGGANNNNNNNNNNNNNNNNNNNNNNNNNNNNNNNNNNNNNNNNNNNNNNNNNNNNNNNNNNNNNNNNNNNNNNNNNNNNNNNNNNNNNNNNNNNNNNNNNNNNNNNNNNNNNNNNNNNNNNNNNNNNNNNNNNNNNNNNNNNNNNNNNNNNNNNNNNNNNNNNNNNNNNNNNNNNNNNNNNNNNNNNNNNNNNNNNNNNNNNNNNNNNNNNNNNNNNNNNNNNNNNNNNNNNNNNNNNNNNNNNNNNNNNNNNNNNNNNNNNNNNUCCUCCUAUAUAUAUCCACGUACACCCAAACGAUCAGAUACGGAGCCAAAAACCUAAUUCCACCACCGCAACUUUCUGUAUCCACGAGAUCCCAUCUUGGGGCCUGUUCCGGAGCUCCGCCGGAGGGGGCAUCGAUCACGGAGGGCUUCUACAUCAUCAUCCAAGCCCCUCCGAUGAAGUGUGAGUAGUUUACUUCAGACCUACGGGUCCAUAGUUAGUAGCUCGAUGGCUUCUUCUCUCUUAUUGGAUCUCAAUACAAUGUUCUCCCCCUCUCUCGUGGAGAUCUAUUCGAUGUAAUCUUCUUUUUGUGGUGUGUUUGUUGAGACCGAUGAAUUGUGGGUUUAUGAUCCAGUCUAUCUAUGAAUAAUAUUUGAAUCUUCUCUGAAUUAUUUUAUGUAUGAUUGGUUAUCUUUGCAAGUCUCUUCGAAUUAUCAGUUUGGUUUGGCCUACUAGAUUGGUUUUUCUUGCCAUGGGAGAAGUGCUUAGCUUUGGGUUCGAUCUUGCGGUGUCCUUUCACAGUGACAGAAGGGGCAGCAAGGCACAUAUUGUAUUGUUGCCAUCGAGGAUAACAAGAUGGGGUUUUUAUCAUAUUGCAUGAAACUAUCCGUCUACAUCAUGUCAUCUUGCUUAAGGCGUUACUCUGUUUUUAACUUAAUACUCUAGAUGCAUGUUGGAUAGCGGUCGAUGAGUGGAGUAAUAGUAGUAGAUGCAGGCAGGAGUCGGUCUACUUGUCUCGGACGUGAUGCGUAUAUACAUGAUCAUACCUAGAUAUUCUCAUAACUAUGCUCAAUUUUGUCAAUUGCUCAACAAUAAUUUGUUCACCCACCGUAGAAUACUUAUGCUCUUGAGAGAAGCCACUAGUGAAACCUAUGGCCCCCGGGUCUCUUUCUCAUCAUAUCAAUCUCCAUCACUUUAUUACUGCUUUGCUUUUACUUUCACUUUGCAUCUCUAUACCAAAAAUACCAAAAAUAUUAUUUAUCAUCUCUAUCAGAUCUCACUUUCGUAAGUGACCGUGAAGGGAUUGACAACCCCUAAGCGCGUUGGUUGCAUUGAGCUAUUGUUUUUGUGUAGGUACGAGGGACUCGUGCGUAGCCUCCUACUGGAUUGAUACCUUGGUUCUCAAAAACUGAGGGAAAUACUUACGCUACUUUGCUACAUCAUGCUCUCCUCUUCGGGGAAAUCCAACGCAGUGCUCAAGAGGUAGCAAUGAGUUAAUUACUUUGGUUGAAUCUGAUCAUUUUUAUGGCUAUGAAUCUGAAAUUGUUGUGGCACAUCUUACUAAAUUAAAUGAUUUAGCCACCUUGUUUACACGUGAUGAGAAAACUCUCUAUUACUUUAUCCUUAAGUUGUUUUCGUUCUCAUUAAAGGGUGAUGCUAAAACAUGGUUUAAUUCUCUUGAUCCUGGUUGUGUGCGUAGUCCCCGGGAUAUGAUUUAUUACUUCUCUGCUAAAUAUUUCCCCGCUCAUAAGAAACAAGUUGCCUUAAGGGAAAUAUAUAAUUUUGUGAAAAUUGAAGAAGAGAGUCUCCCACAAACUUGGAGAGGCUUCUCCAAUUACUUAAUGCUUUUCGUGAUCAUCCUCUCAAGAAAAAUGAAAUACUUGAUAUCUUUUAUAAUGGACUAACCGAUGCUUCCAGAGACUACCUGGAUAGUUGUGCUGGUUGUGUUUUCAGGGAAAGAACUGUUGAUCAAGUUGAAUUGCUAUUGAAUAAUAUGUUGACAAAUGAAAAUAAUUGGACACUUCCUGAACCAACUCCUAAGCCAACUCCUAAGAAAAGGGGCAUUCUAUUUCUCAAUCCUGAAGAUAUGCAAGAGGCAAAGAAAUCUAUGAAAGAAAAAGGUAUUAAAGCUGAAGAUGUUAAGAAUUUACCACCUAUUGAAGAAAUUCAUGGUCUUGAUAACCCGACACACGUAGUAAAGGUAAAUUCUCUCUAUAGAUUUGAUAAAUGUGAAAUCCCAUUUACUAAGUUUGCUAGCCAAUGCUUGGAUGAGUUUGAUGACUUUAUGGUUAAACAAGAAAACUUGAAUGCUUUUGUUGGUAGACAAUUGAAACACAAUGCUGAUAUGCUUGAACACUUGAGUGAUUAUAUGGCUAAUGUUAAAGGUGAACUUAAACUUAUUAGUAAACAUGCUUCUAUGGUUACCACUCAAGUAGAACAAGUACUUAAAGCUCAGAAUGAUUUGCUCAAUGAAUUAAAUAAUAAGAAAAAUGAUAAUGAUGUUAGAGUUAUGACUAGAUGGGGUAAAAUGACUCAGGAACUUUUGUAUCCUGAGGGCCAUCCCAAGAGAAUUGAGCAAUAUUCUCAGAGAACUAAUGUUGAUGCACCUAGUCCUUCUAAAAGGAAGAAUAAGAAAAAUGAUAGGACUUUGCAUGCUUCUAGUGAACCCAUUGGUGACAUACCUGAGAACCCCAAUGAUAUUUCUAUUUCUGAUGCUGAAACACAAUCUGGUAACGAACAUGAACCUAGUGAUAAUGUUAAUGAUGAUGUUCAUGUUGAUGCUCAACCUAGUAAUGAUAAUGAUGUAUGAUACGUCUCCAACGUAUCUAUAAUUUUUGAUUUCUCCAUGCUAUAUUAUCUACUAUUUUGGACAUUAUUGGGCUUUAUUAUCCACUUUUAUAUUAUUUUGGGACUAACCUAUUAACCGGAGGCCCAACCCAGAAUUGCUGUUUUUUGCCUGUUUUAGGGUUUCGAAGAAAAGGAAUAUCAAAUGGAGUCCAAACGGAAUGAAACCUUCGGGAACGUGAUUUUCGGAACGAACAUGAUCCAGGAGACUUGACCCUACAUGAAGCAACCAAUAGGGAAGCCACGAGGUAGGGGGCGCGCCUACCCCCCCCCCCCCAGGCACGCCCUCCACCCUCAUGGGCCCCUGUUGCUCCACCGACGUACUCCUUCCUCCUAUAUAUACCUACGUACCACCAAACGAUCAGAUACGGAGCCAAAACCCUAAUUCCACCGCCGUAACUUUCUGUAUCCAUGUGAUCCCAUCUUGCGGCAUGUUUCGGAGCUCCGCCAGAGGGGGCAUCGAUCACGGAGGGCUUCUACAUCAACACCAUAGCCCCUCCGAUGAAGUGUGAGUAGUUUACCUCAGACCUACGGGUCCAUAGUUAGUGGCUAGAUGGCUUCUUCUCUCUUUUUGGAUCUCAAUACAAUGUUCCCCCCUCUCUUGUGGAGAACUAUUCGAUGUAAUCUUCUUUUUGCGGUGUGUUUGUUGAGACCGGUGAAUUGUGGGUUUAUGAUCAAGUCUAUCUAUGAACAAUAUUUGAAUCUUCUCUGAAUUCUUUUAUGUAUGAUUGGUUAUCUUUGCAAGUCUCUUCUAAUUAUCAGUUUGGUUUGGCCUACUAGAUUGAUCUUUCUUGCAAUGGGAGAAGUGCUUAGCUUUGGGUUCAAUCUUGCGGUGUCCUUUCCCAGUGACAGUAGGGGCAGCAAGGCACGUAUUGUAUUGUUUCCAUCGAGGAUAACAAGAUGGGGUUUUCAUCAUAUUGCAUGAGUUUAUCCCUCUACAUCAUGUCAUCUUGCUUAAGGCAUUACUCUGUUUUCAUUAACUUAAUACUCUAGAUGCAUGAGUGGAGUAAUAGUAGUAGAUGCAGGCAGGAGUCGGUCUACUUGUUUCGGAUGUGAUGCCUAUAUACAUGAUCAUGCCUAGAUAUUCUCAUAACUAUGCUCAAUUCUGUCAAUUGCUCAACAGUAAUUUGUUCACCCACCGUAGAAUACUUAUGCUCUCGAGAGAAGCCACUAGUGAAACCUAUGGCCCCCGGGUCUAUCUUCAUCAUAUUAAUCUCCCAAUACUUAGUUAUUUCUGUUGGAAAUAUGCCCUAGAGGCAAUAAUAAAAUGAUUAUUAUUAUAUUUCCUUUUUCAUGAUAAUUGUCUAUUACUCAUGCUAUAAUUGUGUUAUCCGGAAAUCAUAAUACAUGUGUGAAUACAUAGACCAUAACAUGUCCCUAGUGAGCCUCUAGUUAACUAGCUCGUUGAUCAACAGAUAGUCAUGGUUUCCUGACUAUGGACAUUGGAUGUCAUUGAUAACGGGAUCACAUCAUUAGGAGAAUGAUGUGAUGGACAAGACCCAAUCCUAAGCAUAGCACAAGAUCGUGUAGUUCGUUUGCUAGAGCUUUUCCAAUGUCAAGUAUCAUUACCUUAGACCAUGAGAUCGUGUAACUCCCGAAUGCCGUAGGAGUGCUUUGGGUGUACCAAACGUCACAACGUAACUGGGUGACUAUAAAGGUAUACUACAGGUAUCCCCGAAAGUAUCUGUUGGGUUGACACGGAUCGAGACUAGGAUUUGUCACUCCGUAUGAUGGAGAGGUAUCUAUGGGCCCACUUGGUAAUGCAUCAUCACAAUGAGCUCAAUGUGACCAAGUGUUUGGUCACGGGAUCAUGCAUUACGGUACGAGUAAAGUGACUUGCCGGUAACGAGAUUGAACGAGGUAUUGGGAUACCGACGAUCGAAUCUCGGGCAAGUAACGUACCGAUUGAGAAAGGGAAUUGUAUACGGGAUUACUUGAAUCCUCGACAUCGUGGUUCAUCCAAUGAGAUCAUCGAGGAGCAUGUGGGAGCCAACAUGGGUAUCCAGAUCCCGCUGUUGGUUAUUGACCGAAGAGUCAUCUCGGUCAUGUCUGCGUGUCUCCCGAACCCGUAGGGUCUACACACUUAAGGUUCGGUGACGCUAGGGUUGUAGAGAUAUUAGUAUGCAGUAACCCGAAAGUUGUUCAGAGUCUCAGAUGAGAUCCGGACGUCACGAGGAGUUCCGGAAUGGUCCGGAGGUGAAGAAUUGUAUAUAGGAAGUCCAGUUUUGGCCACCGGGAAAGUUUCGGGGGUCACCGGUAUUGUACUGGGACCACCGGAAGGGUCCCGGGGGUCCACUGGGUGGGGCCACCUAUCCUGGAGGGCCCCAUGGGCUGAGGUGGGAGGGGAACCAGCCCCUGGUGGGCUGGUACACCCCCCAUGGGCCUCCCCCUGCGCCUAGGGUGAAGGAAAUAUGCCCUAGAGGCAAUAAUAAAGUUAUUAUUUAUUUCCUUAUAUCAUGAUAAAUGUUUAUUAUUCAUGCUAGAAUUGUAUUAAACGGAAACAUAAUACAUGUGUGAAUACAUAGACAAACAGAGUGUCACUAGUAUGCCUCUACUUGACUAGCUCGUUGAUCAAAGAUGGUUAUGUUUCCUAACCAUAGACAUGAGUUGUCAUUUGAUUAACGGGAUCACAUCAUUAGGAGAAUGAUGUGAUUGACUUGACCCAUUCCAUUAGCUUAGCACUUGAUCAUUUAGUUUGUUGCUAUUGCUUUCUUCAUAACUUAUACAUGUUCCUAUGACUAUGAGAUUAUGCAACUCCCGUUUACCGGAGGAACACUUUGUGUGCUACCAAACGUCACAACGUAACUGGGUGAUUAUAAAGGUGCUCUACAGGUGUCUCUGAAGGUACUUGUUGGGUUGGCGUAUUUUAAGAUUAGGAUUUGUCACUCCGAUUGUCGGAGAGGUAUCUCUGGGCCCUCUCGGUAAUGCACAUCACUCAAGCCUUUCAAGCAUUGCAACUAAUAAGUUAGUUGCGGGAUGAUGUAUUACGGAACGAGUAAAGAGACUUGCCGGUAACGAGAUUGAACUAGGUAUUAAGAUACCGACGAUCGAAUCUCGGGCAAGUAACAUACCGAUGACAAAGGGAACAACGUAUGUUGUUAUGCGGUCUAACCGAUAAAGAUCUUCGUAGAACAUGUAGGAGCCAAUAUGAGCAUCCAGGUUCCACUAUUGGUUAUUGACCGGAGACGUGUCUCGGUCAUGUCUACAUAGUUCUCGAACCCGUAGGGUCCGCACGCUUAAAGUUCGGUGACGAUCGUAAUUAGGGUUUUUGUGUUUUGAUGUACCGAAGGUUUUUAGAAGUCCCGGAUGUGAUCACGGACAUGACGAGGAGUCUUGAAAUGGUCGAGACAUAAAGAUUGAUAUAUUUGAAGCCUAUAUUUGGAUAUCGGAAACGUUCCGGGUGAAAUCGGGAUUUUACCGGAGUACCGGGGGGUUACCUGAACCCUCCCCCCCCCUCGGGGGGGGGGGAGUAUUGGGCCUACAUGGGCCAUAAGGGUGAAGAGGAGGGCCGACCAGGGCAGGCCGCGUGCCCCCUCCCCCCUAGUCCGAAUAGGACAAGGAAGGGGGGCGCCCCCCUUUCCUCUUUCUCCCUUCCGCCUUCCUUUUCCAACAAGGCAAGAGGUGGGAGUCCUACUCCCGGUGGGAGUAGGACUCCUCCAGGCGCACCCCUAGGGCCGGCCGCACCUCCCCCUCUCCCUCCUUUAUAUACGGGGGCAAGGGGCCACCCCAUGACACACAAGUUGAUCUUCGUGAUCGUUCCUUAGCCGUGUGUGGUGCCCCCUUCCACCAUAUUCCACCUCGGUCAUAUCGUAGCGGUGCUUAGGCGAAGCCUUGCGUCGGUAGAACAUCAUCACCGUCAUCACGCCGUCGUGCUGACGAAACUCUCCCUCAACGUUUUGCUGGAUCGGAGCUCGAGGGACGUCACCGAGUUGAACGUGUGCAGAACUCGGAGGUGCCGUAUGUUCGGUACUUGGAUCGGUCGGAUCGGGAAGACGUACGACUACUUCCUCUACAUUGUGUCAACGCUUCCGUUGCCGGUCUACAAGGGUACAUAGACAACACUCUCCCCUCUCGUUGCUAUGCAUCACCAUGAUCUUGCGUGUGCGUAGGAAAAUUUUGAAAUUACUACAUUCCCCAACAUUGGCAUCCGAGCCUAGGUUUUAUGCGUUGAUGUUGUGCACGAGUAGAACACAAGUGAGUUGUGGGCGAUAUAAGUCAUACUGCUUACCAGCAUGUCACACUUUGGUUCGGUGGUAUUGUUGGAUGAAGCGGCCCAGACCGACAUUACACGUACGCUUACGCGAGACUGGUUCUACCGACGUGCUUUGCACACAGGUGGCUGGCGGGUGUCAGUUUCUCCAACUUUAGUUGAACCGAGUGUGGCUAUGCCCGGUCCUUGCGAAGGUUAAAACAUCACCAACUUGACAAACUAUCAUUGUGGUUUUGAUGCGUAGGUAAGAACGGUUCUUGCUCAGCCCGUAGCAGCCACGUAAAACUUGCAACAACAAAGUAGAGGACGUCUAACUUGUUUUUGCAAGGCAUGUUGUGAUGUGAUAUGGUGAAGACAUGAUGCUAAAUUUUAUUGUAUGAGAUGAUCAUGUUUUGUAACCGAGUUAUCGGCAACUAGCAGGAGCCAUAUGGUUGUCGCUUUAUUGUAUGCAAUGCAAUUGCGCUGUAAUGCUUUACUUUACCACUAAGCGGUAGCGAUAGUCGUGGAAGCAUAAGAUUGGCGAGACGACAACGAUGCUACAAUGGUGAUCAAGGUGUCGCGCCGGUGACGAUGGUGAUCAUGACGGUGCUUCGGAGAUGGAGAUCACAAGCACAAGAUGAUGAUGGCCAUAUCAUAUCAUUUAUAUUAAUUGCAUGUGAUGUUUAUCUUUUGUGCAUCUUAUCUUGCUUUGUUUGACGGCAGCAUUAUAAGAUGAUCUCUCACUAAAUUUCAAGAUAAAAGUGUUCUCCCUGAGUAUGCACCGUUGCCAAAGUUCGUCGUGCCCAGACACCACGUGAUGAUCGGGUGUGAUAAGCUCUACGUCCAUCUACAACGGGUGCAAGCCAGUUUUGCACACGCAGAAUACUCAGGUUAAACUUGACGAGCCUAGCAUAUGCAGAUAUGGCCUCGGAACACUGAGACCGAAAGGUCGAGCGUGAAUCAUAUAGUAGAUAUGAUCAACAUAAUGAUGUUCACCAUUGAAAGCUAUUCCAUUUCACGUGAUGAUCGGUUAUGGUUUAGUUGAUUUGGAUCACGUGAUCACUUAGAUGAUUAGAUGGAUGUCUAUCUAAGUGGGAGUUCUUAAGUAAUAUGAUUAAUUGAACUUUAAUUUAUAAUGAACUUAGUCCUGGUAGUAUUAGCAUAUCUGUGUUGUAGAUCAAUAGCCCGCGAUGUUGCUCCCCAUUUAAUUUUUAUAUGUUCCUAGAGAAAACUAAGUUGAAAAAUGUUAGUAGCAAUGAUGCGGAUUGGAUCCGUGAUCUGAGGAUUAUCCUCAUUGCUGCACAGAAGAAUUAUGUCCUUGAUGCACCGCUAGGUGACUAACCUAUUGCAGGAGCAGAUGCAAACGUUAUGAACGUUUGGCUAGCUCAAUAUGAUGACUACUUGAUAGUUUAGUGCACCAUGCUUAACGGCUUAGAAUUGGGGCUUCAAAGACGUUUUGAACGCCAUGGAGCAUAUAAGAUGUUCCAAGAGUUGAAAUUGGUAUUUCAUACUCAUGCCCGUGUCAAGAGGUAUGAGACCUCUGAUAGUACUUUGCCUACAAGAUGGAGGAGAAUAGCUCAACCAGUGAGCAUGUGCUCAGAUUGUCUGAGUACUACAAUUGCUUGAAUCAAGUGGGAGUUAAUCUUCCAGAUAAGAGAGUAAUUGACAAAGUUCUCUAGUCACUAUCACCGAGUUACUAGAACUUAGUGAUGAACUAUAAUAUGCAAGGGAUGAAAAAAGUAAUUCCCAACCGCUUCGUGAUGCUGAAAUCGACGAAGGUAGAAAUCAAGAAAAGCAUCAAGUGUUGAUGGUUGACAAAGACCACUAGUUUCAAAAAGGGCAAAGGGAAGAAAGGGAACUUCAAGAAGAACGGCAAGCAAGUUGUUGCUCAAGUGAAGAAGCCCAAGUCUGGACCUAAGCCUGAACUGAGUGCUUCUACUGCAAAGGGACUGGUCACUAGAAGCGGAACUGCCCCAAGUAUUUGGCGGAUAAGAAGGAUGGCGAGGUGAACAAAGGUAUAUUGGAUAUACAUGUUAUUAAUGUGUACUUUACUAGUGUUUAUAGCAAGCCCUCGAUAUUUGAUACUAGUUCAGUUGCUAAGAGUAGUAACUUAAAAUAAGAGUUGCAGAAUGAACAGAGACUAGUUAAGGGUGAAGUGACGAUGUGUGUUGGAAAUAGUUCCAAGAAUGAUAUGAUCAUCAUCGCACACUCCCUAUACUUUCGGGAUUAGUGUUGAACCUAAAUAAGUGUUAUUUGGUGUUUGCGUUGAGCAUGAAUAUGAUUUGAUCAUGUUUAUUGCAAUACGGUUAUUCAUUUAAGUUAAGAAUAAUUGUUAUUCUGUUUACAUGAAUAAAACCUUCUAUGGUUAUACACCCAAUGAAAAUGGUUUGUUGAAUCUCGAUCGUAGUGAUACACAUAUUCAUAAUAUUGAAGCCAAAAGAUGCAAAGUUAAUAAUGAUAAUGCAACUUAUUUGUGGCACUGUCGUUUAGGUCAUAUUGGUGUAAAGCGCAUGAAGAAAAUCCAUGCUGAUGGGCUUUUGGAAUCACUUGAUUAUGAAUCAGUUGAUGCUUGCGAACCAUGCCUCAUGGGCAAAGAUGACUAAGACUCCGUUCUCUAGAACAAUGGAGCGAGCAACUGACUUAUUAGAUAUAAUACAUACUGAUGUCUGAGGUCCGAUGAGUGUUGAGGCUCGCGGCGGGUAUCGUUAUUUUCUGACCUUCACAGAUGAUUUGAGCAGAUAUGGGUAUAUCUACUUAAAGAAACAUAAGUCUGAAACAUUUGAAAAGUUCAAAGAAUUUCAGAGUGAAGUAGAAAAUCAACGUAACAAGAAAAUAAAGUUUCUACGAUCUGAUCGCAGAGGCGAAUAUUUGAGUUACGAGUUUGGUCUUCAAUUAAAACAAUGUGGAAUAGUUUCACAAACUCAUGCCACCUGGAACACCACGGCGUAAUGGUGUGUCCGAACGUCAUAACCGUACUUUAUUUGAUAUAGUGCAAUCUAUGAUGUCUCUUACCGAUUUACCACUAUCAUUUUGGGGUUAUGCAUUCGAGACAACUACAUUCACGUUAAAUAGGGCACCAUCGAAAUCUGUUGAGAUGACGCCUUAUGAACUGUGGUUUGGCAAGAAACCAAAGUUGCCAUUUCUUAAAGUUUGGGGCGGCGAUGCUUAUGUGAAAAAGUUUCAAACUGAUAAGCUUGAACCCAAAUCGGAGAAGUGCAUCUUCAUAGGAUACCCAAAUGAAAUUGUUGGGUACACCUUCUAUCACAGAUCCAAAGGCAAAUUUGUUGCUGAGAAUAGAUCCUUUCUAGGGAAGGAGCUUCUCUCGAAAGAAGUGAGUGGGAGGAAAGUAGAACUUGAUGAGGUAACUGUACCUGCUCCCUUAUUGGAAAGUAGUUCAUCACAGAAAUCUGUUCCUGUGACUACUACACCAAUUAGUGAGGAAGCUAAUGAUGAUGAUCAUGUAACUUCAGAUCAAGUUACUACCGGACCUCAUAGGUAAACCAGAGUGAGAUCCGCACUAGAGUGGUACGGUAAUCCUGUUCUGGAGGUCAUGACCAUGACGAAACUACGACCUAUGAGGAAGGGAUGAUGAGCCCAGAUUCCGUGAAAUGUCUUGAGGCCAUAAAAUCUGAGAUAGGAUCCAUGUAUGAGAACAAAGUGUGGACUUUGGUUGACUUGCCCGAUGAUCAGCAAGCCAUAGAAAAUAAAUGGAUCUUCAAGAGGAAGACGGACGCUGAUAGUAGUGUUACUAUCUACAAAGCUAGAAUUGUCGCAAAAAGGUUUCCGACAAGUUCAAGGUGUUGACCACGAUGAGAGUUUCUCACUCGUAUCUAUGCUUAAGUCUGUCCGAAUCAUGUUAGCAAUUGCCGCAUUUUAUGAAAUCUGGCAAAUGGAUAAACAAAACUGCAUUCCUUAAUGGAUUUAUUAAAGAAGAGUUGUAUAUGAUGCAACCAGAAGGUUUUGUCAAUCCUAAAGGUACUAACAAAAUAUGCAAGCUCCAGCGAUCCAUCUAUGGACUGGUGCAAGCAUCUCGGAGUUGGAAUAUACGCUUUGAUAAGUUGAUCAAAGCAUAUAGUUUUAUACAGACUUGCGGUAAAGCUUGUAUUUACAAGAAAGUGAGUGGGAGCACUACAACAUUUCUGAUAAGUAUAUGUGAAUGACAUAUUGUUGAUCGGAGAUAGUGUAGAAUUAUUCUGCAAAGCAUAAAGGAAUGUUUGAAAGGAGUUUUUCAAAGAAAGACCUCGGUGAAGCUGCUUACAUAUUGAGCAUCAAGAUCUAUAGAGAUAGAUCAAGACACUUGAUAAGUUUUUCAAUGAGUACAUACCUUGACAAGAUUUUGAAGUAGUUCAAAAUGGAACAGUCAAAGAAGGAGUUCUUGCCUGUGUUACAAGGUGUGAAGUUGAGUAAGACUCAAAAACCCGACCACGGCAGAAGAUAGAGAGAAAAUGAAAGUCAUUCCCUAUGCCUCAGCCAUAGGUUCUGUAAAGUAUGUCAUGCUGUGUACCAGACCUAUUGUAUACCCUGCCCUGAGUUUGGCAAGGGAGUACAAUAGUGAUCUAGGAGUAGAUCACUAGACAGUGGUCAAAAUUAUCCUUAGCGGAAUAAGGAUAUGUUUCUCGAUUAUGGAGGUGAAAAAAAGGUUCGUCGUAAAGGGUUAUGUCGAUGCAAAUUUUGACACUGAUCCAGAUGACUCUAAAUCUCAAUCUGGAUACAUAUUGAAAGUGGGAGCAAUUAGCUAGAGUAGCUUCGUGCAGAGCAUUGUUGACAUAGAAAUUUGCAAAAUACUUACGGAUCUGAAUGUGGCAGACCCAUUGACUAAACUUCUCUCACAAGCAAAACAUGAUCACACCUUAGUACUCUUUGGGUGUUAAUCACAUAGCGAUGUGAACUAGAUUAUUGACUCUAGUAAACCCUUUGGGUGUCAGUCACAUGUCGAUGUGAACUAUGGGUGUUAAUCACAUGGUGAUGUGAACUAUUGGUAUUAAAUCACAUGGCGAUGUGAACUAGAUUAUUGACUCUAGUGCAAGUGGGAGACUGAAGGAAAUAUGCCCUAGAGGCAAUAAUAAAUUUAUUAUUUAUUUACUUAUAUCAUGAUAAAUGUUUAUUAUUCAUGCUAGAAUUGUAUUAACCGGAAACAUAAUACAUGUGUGAAUACAUAGACAAACAGAGUGUCACUAGUAUGCCUCUACUUGACUAGCUCGUUGAUCAAAGAUGGUUAUGUUUCCUAACCAUAGACAUGAGUUGUCAUUUGAUUAACUGGAUCACAUCAUUAGGAGAAUGAUGUGAUUGACUUGACCCAUUCCAUUAGCUUAGCACUUGAUCGUUUAGUUUGUUGCUAUUGCUUUCUUCAUAACUUAUACAUGUUCAUAUGACUAUGAGAUUAUGCAACUCCCGUUUACCGGAGGAACACUUUGUGUGCUACCAAAUGUCACAACGUAACUGGGUGAUUAUAAAGGUGCUCUACAGGUGUCUCUGAAGGUACUUGUUGGGUUGGCGUAUUUUAAGAUUAGGAUUUGUCACUCCGAUUGUCGGAGAGGUAUCUCUGGGCCCUCUCGGUAAUGCACAUCACUCAAGCCUUGCAAGCAUUGCAACUAAUAAGUUAGUUGCGGGAUGAUGUAUUAUGGAACGAGUAAAGAGACUUGCCGGUAACGAGAUUGAACUAGGUAUUAAGAUACCGACGAUCGAAUCUUGGGCAAGUAACAUACCGAUGACAAAGGGAACAACGUAUGUUGUUAUACGGUCUGACCGAUAAAGAUCUUCGUAGAAUAUGUAGAAGCCAAUAUGAGCAUCCAGGUUCCGUUAUUGGUUAUUGACCGGAGACGUGUCUCGGUCAUGUCUACAUAGUUCUCGAACCCGUAGGGUCCGCACGCUUAAAGUUCGGUGAUGAUCGUAAUUAGGGUUUUUGUGUUUUGAUGUAUCGAAGGUUGUUCGGAGUCCCGGAUGUGAUCACGGACAUGACGAGGAGUCUCGAAAUGGUCGAGGCAUAAAGAUUGAUAUAUUGGAAGCCUAUAUUUGGAUAUCGGAAAUGUUCCGGGUGAAAUCGGGAUUUUACCGGAGUACCGGGGGGUUACCGGAACCCCCCGGGGGUUUAUUGGGCCUACAUGGGCCAUAAGGGUGAAGAGGAGGGCCGGCCAGGGCAGGCCGCCCCCCUAGUCCGAAUAGGACAAGGAAGGGGGGGCGGCGCCCCCCUUUCCUCUUUCUCCCUUCCCCCUUCCUUUUCCAACAAGGCAAGAGUAGGACUCCUCCAGGCGCACCCCUAGGGCCAGCCGCACCUCCCCCUCUCCCUCCUUUAUAUACGGGGGCAAGGGGGCACCCCAUGACACACAAGUUGAUCUUCGUGAUUGUUCCUUAGCCAUGUGCGGUGCCCCCUUCCACCAUAUUCCACCUCGGUCAUAUCGUAGCGGUGCUUAGGCGAAGCCCUGCGUCGGUAGAACAUCAUCACCGUCAUCACACCAUCGUGCUGACGAAACUCUCCCUCAAUGUUUUGCUGGAUCGAAGCUCGAGGGACGUCACCGAGUUGAACGUGUGCAGAACUCGGAGGUGCCGUAUGUUCGGUACUUGGAUCGGUCGGAUCGGGAAGAUGUACGACUACUUCCUCUACGUUGUGUCAACGCUUCCGUUGCCGGUCUACGAGGGUACGUAGACAACACUCUCCCCUCUUGUUGCUAUGCAUCACCAUGAUCUUGCGUGUGCGUAGGAAAAUUUUGAAAUUACUACGUUCCCCAACAUAGGGUUGGAAACCCUAGGGGUGGGGGCGCCCCACCUGACUUGGGGGGCAAGUCCCCCCUUGGCCGCCGCCCCCUUGGAGAUGGGAUCUCCUAGGGACGGCGCCCCCCUAGGGGCCCUAUAUAUAGUGGGGGGAGGGAGGGCAGCCGCACCCAAGUCCCUGGCGCCUCCCUCUCCCCUCGUAACACCACUCCCUCUCGUUGGAGCUUGGCGAAGCCCUGCCGAGAUCACCGCUGCUUCCACCACCACGCCGUCGUGCUGCUGGAUCUCCAUCAACCUCUCCUUCCCCUUGCUGGAUAAAGAAGGAGGAGACGUCUUCCCCAACCGUACGUGUGUUGAACGCGGAGGUGCCGUCCGUUCGGCACUAGGAUCUUCGGUGAUUUGGAUCACGACGAGUACGACUCCCUCAACCCUGUUCUCUUGAACACUUCUGCUCGCGAUCUACAAGGGUAUGUAGAUGCACUCCUCUCCCUCGUUGCUAGAUGACUCCAUAGACUGAUCUUGGUGAUGCGUAGAAAAUUUUAAAAUUCUGCUAUGUUCCCCAACAAUUUCCUUUGCUUUUACUUUGCUUUUAUUUUACUUUGCAUCUUUAUCAUAAAAAUACCAAAAAUAUUGUCUUAUCAUAUCUAUCAGAUCUCACUCUCAUAAGUGGCCGUGUAGGGAUUGACAACCCCUUAUCGCGUUGGUUGCGAGGAUUUAUUUGUUUUGUGCGGGUAUGAGGGACUGGCGCGUAGCCUCCUACUGGAUUGAUACCUUGGUUCUCAAAAACUGAGGGGAAUACUUACGCUACUUUGUUGCAUCAUCCCUUCCUCUUCGGGGAAAACCAACAAAGUGCUCAAGAGGUAGCAAGAAGGAUUUCUAGCGCCGUUGUUGGGGAGGUCUACGCAAAAGUCAAUAUACCAAGUACCCAUCACAUACCCUUAUCUCCCGCAUUACAUUUUUUGCCAUUUGCCUCUCGUUUUCCUCUCCCCCACUUCACCCUUGCCGUUUUAUUCGCCCUCUCUCUCUAUCCUCCCUCUCUUACUCUAUUUGCCUCUUUUUUCCCGCUUACUUUUUGGGACAAUGAAAGUAUACCGCUCAAAAUAUUAUUCGUCUCUAUUUCAAAAUCGAGCUCUGGCACCUCUACAAAUCCCUGCUUCCUGAUACGUCUCCAACGUAUCUAUAAUUUUUUAUUGUCCCAUGCUAUUAUAUUAUCUGUUUUGGGUGUUUAUGGGCUGUAUUAUGCACUUUUAUAUUAUUUUUGGGACUAACCUAUUAACCCAAAGCCCAGUGCCAGUUUCUGUUUUUCCUUGUUUUAGAGUAUCGCAGAAAAGGAAAAUCAAACGGAGUCCAAUUGACCUGAAACUUCACGGAACUCAUUUUUGGACCAGAAGAAGCCCACGGAGUAUCAGAGUUGGGCCAGGAGAGUCCCGGGCAGCCCACGAGGGUAGGGGCACGCCCCCCUGCCUCGUGGACAGCCCGGAGGUCCACCGACGUACUUCUUCCUCCCAUAUAUACCCAUAUCCCUAAAAACUUCGGGGAUCAGAAUAGAUCGGGAGUUCCGCCGCCAGAAGCCUCCAUAGCCACCGAAAACUAAUCUAGACCCGUUCCGGCACCCUGUCGGAGGGGGCAAUCCCUCUCCGGUGGCCAUCUUCAUCAUCCCGGCGCUUUCCAUGACGAGGAGGGAGUAGUUCUCCCUUGGGGCUGAGGGUAUGUACCAGUAGCUAUGUGUUUGAUCUCUCUCUCUCGUGUUCUUGAGGUGGCACGAUCUUGAUGUAUCGCGAGCUUUGCUAUUAUAGUUGGAUUUUAUGAUGUUUCUCCCCCUCUACUCUCUUGUAAUGGAUUGAAUUUUCCCUUUGAAGUUAUCUUAUCGGAUUGAGUCUUUAAGGAUUUGAGAACACUUGAUGUAUGUCUUGCGUGGGAUACCCGUGGUGACAAUGGGGUAUUCUAUUGAUCCACUUGAUGUAUGUUUUGGUGAUCAACUUGCGGGUUCCGCCAAUGAACCUAUGCAUAGGGGUUGGCACAUGUUUUCGUCUUGACUCUCCGGUAGAAACUUUGGGGCACUCUUUGAGGUUCUAUGUGUUGUUUGAAUAGACGAAUCUGAGAUUGUGUGAUGCAUAUCGUAUAAUCAUACCCACGGAUACUUGAGGUGACAUUGGAGUAUCUAGGUGACUGAUGUCUACUACACAACCUUCUUCUUGUAGACUUUGUUGGGCCUCCAAGUGCAGAGGUUUGUAGGACAGCAGCAAAUUUCCCUCAAGUGGAUGACCUAACGUUUAUCAAUUCGUAGGAGGCGUAGGAUGAAGAUGGUCUCUCUCAAGCAACCCUGCAACCAAAUAACAAAGAGUUUCUUGUGUCCCCAACACACCCAAUACAAUGGUAAAUUGUAUAGGUGCACUAGUUCGGCGAAGAGAUGGUGAUACAAGUGCAAUAUGGAUAGUAGAUAAAGGUAUUUGUAAUCUGAAAUUAUAAAAACAGCAAGGUAACUAAUGGUAAAAGUGAGCGUAAACGGUAUUGCAAUGCGUGGAAAUAAGGCCUAGGGUUCAUACUUUCACUAGUAUAAGUCCUCUCAACAAUAAUAACAUAAUUGGAUCAUAUAACUAUCCCUCAACAUGCAACAAAGAGUCACUCCAAAGUCACUAAUAGCGGAGAACGAACGAAGAGAUUAUGGUAGGGUACGAAACCAUGUGAAAGUUAUUCUUUCCAAUCAAUCCGUUGGGCUAUUCCUAUAAGUGUCACAAACAGACCUAGAGUUCGUACUAGAAUAACACCUUAAGACACAAAUCAACCAAAACCCUAAUGUCACCUAGAUACUCCAAUGUCACCUCAAGUAUCUGUGGCUAUGAUUAUACGAUAUGCAUCACACACUCUCAGAUUCAUCUAUUCAACCAACACAUAGGACCUCAAAGAGUGCCCCAAAGUUCUACCGGAGAAUCACGACAAAAACGUGUGCCAACCCCUAUGCAUAGGUUCAUGGGCGGAACCCGCAAGUUGAUCACCAAAACAUACAUCAAGUGAAUCACGUGGUAUCCCAUUGUCACCACAGAUACGCACGGCAAGACAUACAUCAAGUGUUCUCAAAUCUUUAAAGACUCAAUCCGAUAAGAUAACUUCAAAGGGGAAACUCAAUCCAUUACAAGAGAGUAGAGGGGGGAAGAAACAUCAUAGGAUCCAAAUAUAAUAGCAAAGCUCGCGAUACAUCAAGAUCAUAUCACCUCAAGAACACGAGAGAGAGAGAGAGAGAGAGAGAGAGAGAGAGAGAGAUCAAACACAUAGCUACUGGUACAUACCCUCAGCCCCGAGGGAGAACUACUCCCUCCUCGUCAUGGAGAGCACCGGGAUGAUGAAGAUGGCCACCAGAGAGGGAUUCCCCCUCCGGCAGGGUGCCGGAACGGGUCUAGAUUGGCUUUCGGUGGCUACGGAGGCUUCUGGCGGCGGAACUCCCGGUCUAUUGUGCUCUUCGAUGCUUUUAGGGUAUAUGGAGAUAUAUAGGCGGAUGAAGUACGUCAGGGGGCCACGAGGGGCCCACGAGGGUGGAGGGCGUGCCCGGGGGGUGGGCGCGCUCCCUGCCUCGUGACCUCCUCGCGGAUCCCCCGACGUGCACUCCAAGUCUUCUGGGCUUCUUUCCUUCCAAAAAUGAGUUCCGUGAAGUUUCAGGUCAAUUGGACUCCGUUUGAUUUUCCUUUUCUUCGAAACCCUAAAACAGGGUAAAAACAAAAACUGGCACUGGGCUCUGGGUUAAUAGGUUAGUCCCAAAAAUGAUAUAAAAGUGUAUAAUGAAGCCCAUAAACAUUCAAAACAGUAGAUAAUAUAGCAUGGAGCAAUCAAAAAUUAUAGAUACGUUGGAGAUGUAUCAGUGACAUUAGGGUUUUGGUUGAUUUGUGUCUUAAGGUGUUAUUCUAGUACGAACUCUAGGGCUGUUUGUGACACUUAUAGGAAUAGCCCAACGGAUUGAUUGGAAAGAAUAACUUUGAGGUGGUUUCGUACCCUACCAUAAUCUCUUUGUUUGUUCUCCGCUAUUAGUGACUUUGGAGUGACUCUUUGUUGCAUGUUGAGGGAUGGUUAUAUGAUCCAAUUAUGUUAUUAUUGUUGAGAGGACUUGCACUAGUGAAAGUAUGAACCCUAGGCCUUGUUCAACGCAUUGCAAUACCGUUUGUGCGCACUUUUAUCAUUAGUUACCUUGCUGUUUUUAUAUUUUCAGAUUACAAAAACAUAUAUCUACCAUCCAUAUUGCACUUGUAUCACCAUCUCUUCGUCGAACUAGUGAUGUGCACCUAUACAAUUUACCAUUGUAUUGGGUGUGUUGGGGACACAAGAGACUCUCCGUUAUUUGGUUGCAAGGUUGUUUGAGAGAGACCAUCUUCAUCCUACGCCUCCUACGGAUUGAUAAACCUUAGGUCAUCCACUUGAGGGAAAUUUGCUACUGUCCUACAGACCUCUGCACUUGGAGGCCCAACAAUGUCUACAAGAAGAAGGUUGUGUAGUAGACAUCAAGCUCUUUUUUGGCACCGUUGCCGGGGAGUUGAGUGCUUGAAGGUAUAUCUUUAGAUCUUGCAAUCGAAUCUUUUUGUUUCUUGUUUUAUCACUAGUUUAGUUUAUAAAAGAAAAUCAAAAAAAUAUGGAAUUGAGUUUGCCUCAUACGCUUCAUCUUUUUAAUAUCUUUCGUGACAAUGAUGGAAAGGAAAAUUGUGCUCAAGUGCUAGAAGAAGAAGUCUAUAAAAUGUUUGGCAGUAAAUCUUUGAAUGAUGAGCAUGAUUGCAAUGUUGUUAGUAUGAAUUCUUUGAAUAUCCAUGAUGCUAAUGAUAUGCAAAGACACAAGCUUGGGGAUGCUAUGUUUGAUGAAGAUGAUAUUUUUUGUUCCCCAAGUCUUGAUGAGCAAAUUUAUUUUGAUGAUAGCAUGCCUCCUAUUUAUGAUGAUUAUAUUGAUGAAAGUGGAUUUGGAGAGGUCAUGACUUUAUUUAGUAAUGAUUCCACUAUUUCGAAAGAGGUUCCAAUUGAUUAUGAGAACAAAGCUGCUAUCUAUGAUGAUUAUUGUGAUGACAUGUAUGGUAUAAAGAAUAAUGAUAAACAUGAAACUCGUCAUCAUGAUUUUAGUUUUCAAUUGGAUUAUGCCUCACAUGAUAGUUAUUUUGUUGAGUUUGCUCCCACUAUUAUGAAUGAGAAGAAUUUUCCUUAUGUGGAGAGUAAUAAAAUUUAUAUGCUUGUAGAUCAUGAAAAGAAUGCUUUAGGUGCUGGUUAUAUUGUUGAAUUCAUUCAUGAUGCUACUGAAAAUUAUUAUGAGGGAGGAAUAUAUGCUUGUAGGAAUUGCAAUAAUAUCAAGUUUCCUCUCUAUGUGCUUAAAGUUUUGAAGUUAUACUUGUUUUACCUCCCUAUGCAAGUUGAUUCUUGUUCCCACAAGUUGUUUGCUCACAAAAUCCCUAUGCAUAGGAAGAGGGUUAGACUUAAAUGUGCUAGUCAUAUUCUUCAUCAUUCUCUCUUUAUGUUUCAAUUCUUAUCCUUUAUGUGAGCAUCAUUGAAAUCAACAUGCCUAGCUAGGGGCGUUAAACGAUAGCGCUUGUUGGGAGGCAACCCAACUUUAUUUUUGUUCCUUGCCUUUUGUUCCUGUUUAGUAAUAAAUAAUUAAUCUAGCCUCUGUUUAGAUGUGGUUUUAUGUUUUAAUUAGUGUUUGUGCCAAGUAGAACCUUUGGGAAGACUUGGGUGAAGUCUUUGCUAUCAUGCUGUAAAAAACAGAAACUUUAGCGCUCAUGAGAUUUGCUGCCAUUUUUUAUUCGAGAGUGCUAUUUAGUUAAUUAUUUUUGCAGAUGAUUAAUAGAUAAAUUCCUCACGUCCAGCAAUUUAUUUUAGAAUUUUUGAGGUUCCAGAAGUUUGUGUUAGUUACAGAUUACUACAGACUGUUCUGUUUUUGACAGAUUCUGUUUUUCGUGUGUUGUUUGCUUAUUUUGAUGAAUCUAUGGCUUGUAAAAUAGUUUAUAAACCAUAGAGAAGUUGGAAUAUAGUAGGUUUAACACCAAUAUAAAUAAAGAAUGAGUUCAUUACAGUACCUUGAAGUGGUGUUUUGUUUUCUUUCGCUAACGGAGCUUACGAGUUUUCUGUUAAGUUUUGUGUUGUGAAGUUUUCAAGUUUUGGGUAAAGAUUCGAUGGACUAUGGAAUAAGGAGUGACAAGAGCCUAAGCUUGGGGAUGCCCAAGGCACCCCAAGGCAAUAUUCAAGGACAACAUAGAGCCUAAGCUUGGGGAUGCCCCGGAAGGCAUCCCCUCUUUCGUCUUCGUUCAUCAGUAACUUUACUUGGAGCUAUAUUUUUAUUCGGCACAUGAUAUGUGUUUUGCUUGUAGCGUCAUUUUAUUUUAUUUUGUUUUUCUUGCUGUUUGAAUAAAAUACUGAGAUCUGAAAUUAUUAAAUGUUAGAGAGUCUUCACAUAGUUGCAUCAUUAUUCGACUACUCAUUGAACUUCACUAAUAUCUUUUGGAGUAGUUUGUCAUUUGCUCUAGUACUUCACUUAUAUCGUUUUAGAGCACGGUGGUGGUUUUAUUUUAUAGAAAUAGAUGAACUCUCAUGCAUCACUUAUAUUAUUUUGAGAGUCCUAAACAGCAUGGUAAUUUUCUUUGGUUAUGAAUUUAGUCCUAAUAUGAUGGGCAUCCAAGAGGGAUAUAAUAAAAACUUUCAUAUAAAGUGCAUUGAAUACUAUGAGAAUUUUGAUACUUGAUGAUUGUUUUGAGAUAUGAGGAUGGUAAUACUAGAGUCAUGCUAGUGAGUAGUUGUGAAUUUGAGAGAUACUUGUGUUAAAGUUUAUGAUUCCCGUAGCAUGCACGUAUGGUGAACCGUUAUGUGAUGAAGUCGGAGCAUGAUUUGUUUAUUGAUUGUCCUCCUUAUGAGUGGCGGUUGGGGACGAGCGAUGGUCUUUUCCUACCAAUCUAUCCCCCUAGGAGCAUGUGCAUAGUACUUUGUUUCGAUAACAAAUAGAUUUUUGCAAUAAGUAUGUGAGUUCUUUAUGACUAAUGUUGAGUCCAUGGAUUAUACGCACUCUCACCCUUCCACCAUUGCUAGCCUCUCUAGUACCACGCAACUUUCGCCGGUACCAUAUAUCUUCCUCAAAACAGCCACCAUGCCUACCUAUUAUGGCAUUUCCAUAGCCAUUCCAAGAUAUAUUGCCAUGCAACUUUCCACCGUUCCGUUAUUAUGACACGCUCCAUCAUUGUCAUAAUGCUUUGCAUGAUCAUGUAGUUGACAUCAUAUUUGUGGCAAAGCCACCGUUCAUAAUUCUUUCAUACAUGUCACUCAUGAGUCAUUGCACAUCCCGGUACACCGCCGGAGGCAUUCAUAUAGAGUCAUAUCUUGUCCUAAGUAUCGAGUUGUAAUUCUUGAGUUCUAAGAAAAUAAAAGUGUGAUGAUCAUCAUUAUUAGAGCAUUGUCCCUGUGAGGAAAGGAUGAUGGAGACUAUGAUUCCCUCACAAGUCGGGAUGAGACUCUGGAUGAAAAAAAGAGAGGCCAAAGAAGCCCAAAUAAAAAAAGAGGCCAUAAAAAGAGAAGGCCCAAAUAAAAAAAUAAAAAAAUAAAAAAAUGAGAGAAAAAGAGAGAAGAGGCGAUGCUACGAUCCUUUUACCACACUUGUGCUUCAAAGUAGCACCAUGAUCUUCAUGAUAGAGAGUCUCCUAUGUUGUCACUUUCAUAUACUAGUGGGAAUCUUUCAUUAUAGAACUUGGCUUGUAUAUUCCAAUGAUGGGCUUCCUCAAAAUUCCCUAGGUCUUCGUGAGCAAGCAAGUUGGAUGCACACCCACUUAGUUUCUUUUUGAGCUUUCAUACACUUAUAGCUCUAGUGCAUCCGUUGCAUGGCAAUCCCUACUCACUCACAUUGAUAUCUAUUGAUGGGCAUCUCCAUAGCCCGUUGAUACGCCUAGCUGAUGUGAGACUAUCUUCUCCCUUUUUGUCCUCUCCACAACCACCCUUCUAUUCCACAUAUAGUGCUAUAUCCAUGGCUCACGCUCAUGUAUUGCAUGAAGAUUGAAAAGGUUUGAGAACAUCAAAACUAUGAAACAAUUGCUUGGCUUGUCAUGAGGGUUGUGCAUGAUUUAAAUACUUUGUGUGGUGAAGAUGGAGCAUAGCCAGACUAUAUGAUUCUAUAGGGAUAGCUUUCUUUGGCCAUGUUAUUUUGAGAAGACAUGAUUGCUUAGUUAGUAUGCUUGAAGUAUUAUUAUUUUUAUGUCAAUAUAAAACUUUUGUCUUGAAUCUUAUGGAUCUGAACAUUCAUGCCAAAAUGAAGAGAAUUACUUAGAGAAAUAUGUUAGGUAGCAUUCCACAUCAAAAAUUCUGUUUUAUCAUUUACCUACUCGAGGAUGAGCAGCAAUUAUGAUGUUUCUCCCCCUCUACUCUCUUGAAAUGGAUUGAGUUUUCCCUUUGAAGUUAUCUUAUCAGAUUGAGUCUUUAAGGAUUUGAGAACACUUGAUGUAUGCCUUGCCUGGGAUACCCGUGGUGACAAUGGGGUAUUCUAUUGAUCCACUUGAUGUAUGUUUUGGUGAUCAACUUGCGGGUUCCGCCCAUGAACCUAUGCAUAGGGGUUGGCACACGUUUUCGUCUUGACUCUUCGGUAGAAACUUUGGGGCACUCUUUGAGGUUCUAUGUGUUGGUUGAAUAGAUGAAUCUAAGAUUGUGUGAUGAAUAUCGUAUAAUCAUACCCACGGAUACUUGAGGUGACAUUGGAGUAUCUAGGUGACAUUAGGGUUUUGGUUGAUUUGUGUCUUAAGGUGUUAUUCUAGUACGAACUCUAGGGCUGUUUGUGACACUUAUAGGAAUAGCCCAACGGAUUGAUUGGAAAGAAUAAUUUUGAGGUGGUUUCGUACCCUACCAUAAUCUCUUCGUUUGUUCUCCGCUAUUAGUGACUUUGGAGUGACUCUUUGUUGCAUGUUGAGGGAUAGUUAUAUGAUCCAAUUAUGUUAUUAUUGUUGAGAGGACUUGCACUAGUGAAAGUAUGAACCCUAGGCCUUGUUUCAACGCAUUGCAAUACCGUUUGUGCUCACUUUUAUCAUUAGUUACCUUGUUGUUUUUAUAUUUUCAGAUUACAAAAACAUAUAUCUACCAUCCAUAUUGCACUUGUAUCACCAUCUCUUCGCCGAACUAGUGCACCUAUACAAUUUAUCAUUGUAUUGGGUGUGUUGGGGACACAAGAGACUCUCUGUUAUUUGGUUGCAGGGUUGUUUGAGAGAGACCAUCUUCAUCCUACGCCUCCUACGGAUUGAUAAACCUUAGGUCAUCCACUUGAGGGAAAUUUGCUACUGUCCUACAAACCUCUGCACUUGGAGGCCCAACAACGUCUACAAGAAGAAGGUUGUGUAGUAGACAUCAAGCUCUUUUCUGGCGCCGUUGCCGGGGAGGUGAGUGCUUGAAGGUAUAUCUUUAGAUCUUGCAAUCAAAUCUUUUUUUUUCUUGUUUUAUCACUAGUUUAGUUUAUAAAAUAAAAUCAAAAAAUGGAAAUGAGUUUGCCUCAUACGCUUCAUCUUUUUAAUAUCUUUCGUGAGAAUGAUGGAAAGGAAAAUUGUGCUCAAGUGCUAGUAGAAGAAGUCUAUAAAAUGUUUGGCACUAAAUCUUUGAAUGAUGAGCAUGAUUGCAAUGUUGUUAGUAUGAAUUCUUUGAAUAUCCAUGAUGCUAAUGAUAUGCUCACUACAAUAGCUUAGUUGGCUAUGUUUAGUAUAAUAUAUUUAAGGUUUAGUUAUUUAUUAGUAGUUCCGAUGAUUAUGUUUCUGAUGCUUAUGUUCACUGUAAUAUAUAUAUAAGUGUGUGUGUGUGUGUAUGGGCAGCAGCUUAGUUGGCGGUGGAGAAGCUCAUAGUUUAGUUAUUUAUUAGUACCGAAGCUCACUGCAACAUGUUCUGUAGGCAUGUGCUGUUAGUUGAUUGAGGCAAUGUAGAUGCUAAUUUUUAAUUGAGGCAGUAUAGGUUGCAGUUGAAGUAGCAUUGUUUAGUUGGCCACAUGUAUAGGUUGUAGUUCUUAUGUUGUUAGUUGAUUUUUUAAAAGUGCCCUUUCAUAAUGGUAAUUCUUCAGAGAGUAACAAUAUAAGUGUUCGCUAUAUUGCAGGAAGCUGUCAAUUUUGGUUUCCUUGCUUGGGUUGACCCAGAGUGGCCCCCCACAAUGCAAAAUGCAUUGUUGAAGCUUUGGGAAAUGUUUAAAGACAGCAAGACUGCUAGGAGGAAGGAUAACCCAUAAAGUUCACUUACUAUCCACCACCUUAAAGAAGAGAAAAGGAAUCUGGAUGCCAACUAUGACAAACUAGUUGAAGAUGUCCAUCGGCUUCUCAGUGCCCAGGAGGACAGGGUGUUGGAUUUAAGCUAUGUGCAGGCUAAGGAGAAGAGAGCUGACAUUGCCACUGCAUCAGUUGUGGCUGCCAUGAAGAAUGAGAUGGAGAAGAAAGAGGCAGAGAACUUCAAGAUGCAAGAGAAGUACAAAGUGUUGAUGAACCUGGUAGAGGCUCAAGACAGUGUCAUUAGGAACCUGAAGACGAAUCAUUUGAAAGAGAAGGAAAAGCUAGCUGAAGGCAACAACAAUUUAAAGAUUCAGGUUGAUGAGCUCACCCAGUCUGUCAAAGAACUAACAGAAGAGAAUGUGAAGUUCAAGAAGGGGGCUCGAGAAGAGCAAAGAGAAGCUGAAGUUGAUCCAUGACAUCUUGAAGGAAUGAGGUAGAUGAAGAUGAUAUGGGUAGAUGAAGCAGAGCAUACCUAUCAUGAUAUAAGUUGCUUUGAUAAAAGGCUUUGCUAAUCUUUUGUGAAGGGUGGUUUAGUUAAGUGUAAUGUAUGGAUCUAGUAGUUGUGAACAAUGUUGAACUCCACUAUGCUAUGGUCUUUAGCUAAUGUUGUAAGAAUCUAGUAAUUAUGGUCGUGAGAAUCUAUGAUUAUGUUGAACUCCAGUAUGCUAUGUUAUUUAGCUAAUGCUCAAGUUAUAUUUGGUUUGUUCAAAAGUGCCAAAUGAGCAUUGAGUUGUUUCACAAAUGCCAAAUGAACAACACAAAAAGCAUUGAGUUGUUCACAAGUGCCAAAUGACCAAAUAUUGCAGAUAUUGCAGGCAUAAUAUGUUGAUAGGAGCAUGAUAUGUCCACAAAUGACCAGAGAAUACAUGGUUUGUAGCACAAAUAACUUAGUUCACAUCAGACUCAACUUAGUACUCCAUUAGAACAUACAUCAGUUUUGUAGCACAACUAACUUAGUUCACAUCUUCUGGUACUCCAUCAGACCAAAAUAGCAACAUUCUCUCACUCAAGUGUUGCCACUGGCAGUAAAGAAUGACAUUGAGCGAGUAUAAUUCCCUGGGACACUUGAAGGAGCACCAGAAGUAGAAGGACCAGAAGAUGAAGCUCCUGCAGCAAAUCUUGGGGCAGUGAAAGGCCUUGCAAAUCUUGCACUUGCACUAGCUGACACUCUAGCAGAUCUUGAAGUAGAUCUUGCAGUAGCAGAUCUAGCAGUAGCAGAUCUUGCACUAGCAGAUCUUGCAGUAGCAGAUCUUGCACUAGCAGAUUAUGUUGGUGGCUGUUGUGAUCCUGAUGGAGUAUCUUCAUUCCUUGAUCUUGCAGGUGCCUAAACAUACAAGGAACCAUGCUAGUAGUCACAAAGGUUUAGCACAAAAAACAUAGAAGGAAAGAAGACCAAUUAGCAAGUAAAAUUCAAAAGGGUUUACCACAUGCUUGUUUUUCCUCAUAGCCAACUCUGGUCGCAACUGUUGCUUGCAGUUUGUGUACCUAUGGCCUUGGAGCCCACAGUUGUUGCAUGUUAUAGUGGCCAUUCUUGAACUGUCCUUUGGUUUUGGAACCUCAAAUCUGCCCUUUAUUCUCUUCUCUUUCCUUCUCCCCUUCUUCACAUGAAAUUUGGGUGGCUCUAUGUCUGGUCCACUUGUCCUUGUCCAAUCAUGUUCACCAGGAACUGGAUAUAUCAUUGGUUCAUAUGCAGCAAGGUAAAAAGGUUUUUGAAGAAAUUGCGGACAUGGUCCUCUGGAAAUCUUUUUGCCUUAUUAAUUGCUGAUAUUGCAUGGUUGCAUGGUAUGCCAAUCAGGUCCCACUUUCUGCAGCCACAUGUAUAAACUUCCAAGUUUACAGCAUGUGUUUGCUGCCCACUGGUCACUUGCCAAAGAUUUACACCAGCUUGUAUAGGUUUGCAGAAUCUGGCCCUUUCCUUUUCCUCCUCAAGCUUCUCAGCAUAAUGUGGUGUGAUCUCCCACAGAGAUGUGUUUUCUCUCUCUCUCUCUCUGUUUCUAUGCCACCUCACCAUCUGCUUGUCCUUAAUACCAUCAAUCAUGGUCCUAAUAGGUUUUUUCCUAAAAUCUAGGAUGUACUUGUUGAACACCUCAGACAGGUUGUUAACAACCAAGUCUGUCUUGCAGUUAGUGUCAAAAGCAUGCCUAGCCCAUGUGUGCUUAGGUAUUCCACUUAGUCACUUCCAAGCUUCCUCACUCUCAUUUUUCAAGUCAUUCAUGGCAAUGUUAAAGUUGUGCUGGUUAUAAGCAUAGCUGGCAUUAUACAUGCAUUUCUUAAGAUCUUCCCCCCUAAACCCAGCAUUCUGGAAAUUUGCAUAAAGGUGUCUAAGGCAAAAUCUUUGAUGACAGUUUGGAAAAACUUGGUUUACUACAUUUAGUAGCCCCUGUUCACAUAGCAUGCUAGACUUAGUUGUUGUACUACUACAUCUAGAACAUAACAUGCUAAUGCAGAAGAACAUAAAAGCAAGAACAUAAAGAAAGAUGCAUGCAUAUCUUCUGUCUAUCAGACAUGAUAGUAUAAGGCCCAAAUUUGCCAACUUCUCCUCCUAGACAUAUCUUCAGUUCGUCUAGAAACCAACACCAGUUAGAUGUGUCCUCUUGUCCAACAACAGCAAAUGCAAGUGGGAAAAUAUUAUUAUUCCCAUCUCUUUCAGUGGCAGCUAGGAUUUGAGCACCAGUGGUGAGCUUAAUAAAGCAUCCAUCAACAACUGUUGUUGCAACCAAAGAACAAUUUAAACUUCUACAAAGCAUUACUAAACUAUAUAUUACAAAGCAUUACUAAACUAUAUAUUUAAGUAUAAAGAACUAUAAAGCACCACUACAUCAAUUGAGAAAGAACUAUAAAGCAUUACUAACCAAUGAAUGGUCUGCAUGCAUUGAGAAAUCACUCCCUUGCUCCAUUUAUGCAGAAGAACAUAGUAUGAAACCUUGGUCCUGAAUAUGGUAUUUUUGUAGUUGGUUUUGGAGUAACUGUUGCAACUAAAACUCUACUACCAUGGUUUGUAUCCAUGAUGGUCUGAGCAUAAUCCCUAAGCCUGGGAUACUGUUUCUUGUGCUCUAGUUUUUGGCCCUAUAGGCCAUGUGCCUUGGCACAUCAACACCAUACUUCUCAUUGUAGUUGUCAAUCAGAGUGUGUAUGCUGGUGGUUGGAUCAGACCUGAACAAUGACUCAUAGGUCUUUGCAAGCCACUUGGCACUAAUCCUAGAUGUCUCAAUGCUGCUAGGGCAAGUGUGCUCCAGCCUUAUUUUCUUAAUAGCUAAAGUCUUCUCCCCUUUGAUAACUGCAGCAACUAUGCAAAACUGGUAGUGCUCUUGCUUACAAUAGGCAAUGAUCCUUUGGUCUGAAUUUCUGUGAUACCUGAAGUCUCUGGCCUGUGCGAUGUGCAAGCUCAACAAAGCAUCUUUGAAUUGCUGCUGAUUCUUAAAGCACAUGUACAGAUAUAAUUGCUGAUGUGGUUGCUCAAGUUUGUCAUUGUACCAGAUCCUUGGUUUCCUUUUCUUAGCCCUACUCUUUCUCCCUUUAGGUAGAACAAAUGACAGUGGCUCAUGUCCAUCAUCUUCAUCUAUUGCUAGGGUGGGCCACCCAUAUCUCUGCCAGCUUCACCCUGGCCUCCAUGGACAGCGCGGCCUCCUCCUCCAAAUCCUCGUCCUCUGCAUUGGAGUAGUACGAACUGGAGCAUCGACGUCAUCCAGACCUAAGUGGUCAUCGGGGCCGAGGCCAGGAAGGUGUCCAUACCCACCCGCGCCGUCGUCGCCGCCGGGAGUCGCCGCCGCCAUCGCCUGAGAGGAAACUAGGGUUCGUCGCGUACAGGUUCGACCCGGCCCAGCUAAUUGGUGCGACCGAGCCGGCUGGGACGAAUGACCGCGCGUGUGCGAGCGGGUAAGCCAUCGUGGCACCUGACGCAUGGGCCCGGUAGGUCAAAUACGUGGUCAAUACGCGCUUAUACGGCAAUUAGGCCGUUUUGCAACACUUAGGCUUAGAGUUGGCACUGCAUGAUAAAAAAAGGUGACUAGUGGUACUGAUUCGUCACAACGUGUCAAAGUGUGAUAGUUCCUUGCAAUUAACUCGAUGAACUGACAUGGAGUCCUCGGCCCGGGUGCACACGCAUGUUUUUUACGAACGGGCUCAAAAGCGGACGUGUAUCCUCUAAUAGCUAUAAAUCUGACGUCGAAUUUUACAGUGACUACGACAAUGCCGGUGCGUUGUCACGAGGCAAUAAAGACAAAGACACUGAUCAAUAUUGUGUGCCAUCUCCUUCUUAGUAUAUCAUCAUCGCUCUUUUUUUUGUUUUUGUCCUAAAGCUGUAGAGAAAAACAAAACCUACAUGUGUUGAUAACCCCUCAAACGUAAUCCUUGCAAUUUGCCUAUGUUAGAACACACCAAUUAUCGGAUUAGAAGAACCGUGCAACUAAUGAGCCAUGGCAAAUUGAUUUGGACAACAAGGGUCAGGCGAACAUGGACCAAGUUGUAGUGUUCUACCUUUCCUGUGGUCCUCCUUGGUUGGUAGCAGCGAUGGUUCUCCCCAAGUCCUUAGUCACUUUCAAGCUGCUGCAAAAUGAAUUUUGUAUACAGGUGCAUUUUUUUCUCUUUUCUGAAUUUACAGUCUAAGUAAACAUUUGCAGGCUGUUUCUAUUUGCAACAACGGUUCCUAUUGCCUAAUGAAAGCUACAAGAAGGGCGUUGUCCACUCAGAACAAUCAUAUUGAAGGUCAAAUUAAGCCUGCAACUAAUAAUAUGAAAUUACUAUUUUUGACAUCGAAAGGGUUGGAUCUGAUAGGAGCAUACCCAUUUUUUUACCGGAAGAACAUAUCGGGUAUGGCCACCAAAAAGAAUAUCAAAAUAGCUAGCAUUUAGUUUAGAAAUGACAACUGUUGUGACUUCUAAACUGCUACAACUUCCUUCUAUUUGGUGUCUUGGGUAUGAGUAAGAAAAAUGUUCGGUCUGAAAAGACAUAAGGUAAAUGAGAGCAAAAAAUUAUACAUAUAAUGAAAUAAGACUGGAGAAGAAAUAUGUCCUUUAAUCGUAUGCACAGAGGCAUACAGCCAUUUCACUAAACGUGUACUGAUCUGUUCUUCCAAAUUGUCUACAAUGAAUUCAGUACUCAUCUGAAUGACUUUCUUUCUUUGUCUCUACGGAGAGAAUUCAUAACUUAUAAAUUGGACGUUCGACACCAGCAAUGAAAGAGUGGCUCACCAUUCUUCAGUGAUUCCUCCCUCAUAUGGAUAUCAUGCAGCGAUGUAGCAGACAUAGUAAGACCCACCUAAUCAACUAUCAGAUCUGGACGCUGCUUCAGAUAUGAUUCCCUUGACGAGAGCCCCAUGGGCGUGCCAUUUGAGUGCUGUGUCAACUAUCAAAAGUUCAAAACUAUCAGAUUCGUACAAACAAAAAAGGAUUUCCUACAAAAAAACAGGAUAGAUAGAACAUGAAGCAACUUACACGCAUGAUCUCGAGAGGAUGUUGGCAGAUAGCAUCUUCCCUGCUGCAGCCGCCGCAGCCGACCGACUCAGUCGCCGAAAGCCGUAACGAUGCCUCCCACCUUGGCCUCCUCCAUUCUGCUAAGGUGGGGCUAACAAGAUGUAGGUUUUUUUGGGGGGAAACUCGGAUUGGGGAACCGCAACGAUCAGGAGCAGCGUCUCAUUGGGGAUGAGGGGAAGACAGUGGUGGCGCUGCGAGGACGAAUUGAUGUAAGAUGCUAGGGGAGGACGAACUGAGUGGGAAGGAGAUGAUCGGGGCGUGCCCAGCGGCCGGAUAGAUAGCGUAUGGGCCUGACGAGACGACCCGGCGGCGACGGCCAUGGGAGGCCAGGAGGUCUCGCCCACACUAUUCCUCGAAGCCAUGGGCCAAGUUCCUCCGGACGGCAAUGUCCAUUCCCAAGGACGCCCGCGUCUGUGACCUCAGAACGUUGCCAAUCUCCCCUGCUGCUUGUGAGAUAGAAAGGAGAGGUGGUGGGUUGCGCUCAUCGCGGUGUCAGGCGACUCUGGCGGCAGCCAAAUCGGCAGGAGAUAGAAUCAACCCGUGGAUUCAGGAGAUGAGUGAGGGGGGAAUUGAUCAAAGGUUCUAAGAGGAAACAAACUAACGUGGGACAGGAGGCGUCCAGGGGUGCGGGAGCCGGGAGGGCGAACGAAACGCAACGAGGGUCGGACGAAAGAACGACGUAAUAGGGGAAACGGAACUUUACGUUUCUUUUAGAUAUAUAUAUGCACUGAGGCAUACAGCCAUUUCACUAAACGUGUACUGAUCUGUUCUUCCAAAUUGUCUACAAUGAAUUCAGUACUCAUCUGAAUGACUUUCUUUCUUUGUCUCUACGGAGAGAAUUCAUAACUUAUAAAUUGGACGUUCGACACCAGCAACAAAAGAGUGGCUCACCAUUCUUCAGUGAUUCCUCCCUCAUCUGGAUAUCAUGUAGCGAUGUAGCAGACAUAGUAAGACCCACCUAAUCAACUAUCAGAUCUGGACGCUGCUUCAGAUAUGAUUCCCUUGACGAGAGCCCCAUGGGCUUGCCAUUUGAGUGCUGUGUCAACUAUCAAAAGUUCAAAACUAUCAGAUUCGAACAAACAAAAAAGGAUUUCUUGCAAAAAAACAGGAUAGAUAGAACAUGAAGCAACUUACACGCAUGAUCUCGAGAGGAUGUUGGCAGAUAGCAUCUUCCCUGCUGCAGCCGCCGCAGCCGACCGACUCAGUCGCCGAAAGCCGUAACGAUGCCUCCCACCUUGGCCUCCUCCAUUCUGCUAAGGUGGGGCUAACAAGAUGUAGGUUUUUUUGGGGGGAAACUCGGAUUGGGGAACCGCAACGAUCAGGAGCAGCAUCUCAUUGGGGAUGAGGGGAAGACGGUGGUGGCGCUGCGAGGACGAAUUGAUGUAAGAUGCUAGGGGAGGACGAACUGAGUGGGAAGGAGAUGAUCGGGGCAUGGCCAGCGGCCGGAUAGACAGCGUAUGGGCCUGACGAGACGACCCGGCGGCGACGGCCAUGGGAGGCCAGGAGGUCUCGCCCACACUAUUCCUCGAAGCCAUGGGCCAAGUUCCUCCGGACGGCAACGUCCAUUCCCUAGGACGCCCGCGUCCGUGACCUCAGAACAUUGCCAAUCUCCCCUGCUGCUUGUGAGAUGGAAAGGAGAGGUGGUGGGUUGCGCUCAUCGCGGUGUCAGGCGACUCUGGCGGCAGCCAAAUCGGCAGGAGAUAGAAUCAACCCGUGGAUUCAGGAGAUGAGUGAGGGGGAAUUGAUCAAAGGUUCUAAGAGGAAACAAACUAACGUGGGACAGGAGGCGUCCAGGGGUGCGGGAGCCGGGAGGGCGAACGAAACGCAACGAGGGUCGGACGAAAGAACGAGGUAAUAGGGGAAACGGAACUUUACGUUUCUUUUAGAUAUAUAUAUGCACAGAGGCAUACAGCCAUUUCACUAAACGUGUACUGAUCUGUUCUUCCAAAUUGUCUACAAUGAAUUCAGUACUCAUCUGAAUGACUUUCUUUCUUUGUCUCUACGGAGAGAAUUCAUAACUUAUAAAUUGGACGUUCGACACCAGCAACGAAAGAGUGGCUCACCAUUCUUCAGUGAUUCCUCCCUCACAUGGAUAUCAUUCAGCGAUGUAGCAGACAUAGUAAGACCCACCUAAUCAACUAUCAGAUCUAGACGCUGCUUCAGAUAUGAUUCCCUUGACGAGAGCCCCAUGGGCUUGCCAUUUGAGUGCUGUGUCAACUAUCAAAAGUUCAAAACUAUCAGAUUCGUACAAACAAAAAAGGAUUUCCUGCAAAAAAACUGGAUAGAUAGAACGUGAAGCAACUUACACGCAUGAUCUCGAGAGGAUGUUGGCAGAUAGCAUCUUCCCUGCUGCAGCCGCCGCAGCCGACCGACUCAGUCGCCGAAAGCCGUAACGAUGCCUCCCACCUUGGCCUCCUCCAUUCUGCUAAGGUGGGGCUAAGAAGAUGUAGGUUUUUUUGGGGGGAAACUCGGAUUGGGGAACCGCAACGAUCAGGAGCAGCAUCUCAUUGGGGAUGAGGGGAAGACGAUGGUGGUGCUGCGAGGACGAAUUGAUGUAAGAUGCUAGGGGUGGACGAACUGAGUGGGAAGGAGAUGAUCGGGGCGUGGCCAGCGGCCGGAUAGACAGCGUAUGGGCCUGACGAGACGACCUGGUGGCAACGGCCAUGGGAGGCCAGGAGGUCUCGCCCACACUAUUCCUCGAAGCCAUGGGCCAAGUUCCUCCGGAAGGCAACGUCCAUUCCCUAGGACGCCCGCGUCCGUGACCUCAGAACAUUGCCAAUCUCCCCUGAUGCUUGUGAGAUGGAAAGGAGAGGUGGUGGGUUGCGCUCAUCGCGGUGUCAGGCGACUCUGGCGGCAGCCAAAUCGGCAGGAGAUAGAAUCAACCCGUGGAUUCAGGAGAUGAGUGAGGGGGGAAUUGAUCAAAGGUUCUAAGAGGAAACAAACUAACGUGGGACAGGAGGCGUCCAGGGGUGCGGGAGCCGGGAGGGCAAACGAAACGCAACGAGGGUCGGACGAAAGAACGACGUAAUAGGGGAAACGGAACUUUACGUUUCUUUUAGAUAUAUAUAUGCACUGAGGCAUACAGCCAUUUCACUAAACGUGUACUGAUCUGUUCUUCCAAAUUGUCUACAAUGAAUUCAGUACUCAUCUGAAUGACUUUCUUUCUUUGUCUCUACGGAGAGAAUUCAUAACUUAUAAAUUGGACGUUCGACACCAGCAACGAAAGAGUGGCUCACCAUUCUUCAGUGAUUCCUCCCUCAUAUGGAUAUCAUGCAGCGAUGUAGCAGACAUAGUAAGACCCACCUAAUCAACUAUCAGAUCUGGACGCUGCUUCAGAUAUGAUUCCCUUGACGAGAGCCCCAUGGGCUUGCCAUUUGAGUGCUGUGUCAACUAUCAAAAGUUCAAAACUAUCAGAUUCGAACAAACAAAAAAGGAUUUCCUGCAAAAAAACAGGAUAGAUAGAACAUGAAGCAACUUACACGCAUGAUCUCGAGAGGAUGUUGGCAGAUAGCAUCUUCCCUGCUGCAGCCGCCGCAGCCGACCGACUCAGUCGCCGAAAGCCGUAACGAUGCCUCCCACCUUGGCCUCCUCCAUUCUGCUAAGGUGGGGCUAACAAGAUGUAGGUUUUUUGGGGGGAAACUCGGAUUGGGGAACCGCAACGAUCAGGAGCAGCGUCUCAUUGGGGAUGAGGGGAAGACGAUGGUGGCGCUGCGAGGACGAAUUGAUGUAAGAUGCUAGGGGAGGACGAACUGAGUGGGAAGGAGAUGAUCGAGGCGUGGCCAGCGGCCGGAUAGACAGCGUAUGGGCCUGACGAGACGUCCCGGCGGCGACGGCCAUGGGAGGCCAGGAGGUCUCGCCCACACUAUUCCUCGAAGCCAUGGGCCAAGUUCCUCCGGACGGCAACGUCCAUUCCCUAGGACGCCCGCGUCCGUGACCUCAGAACAUUGCCAAUCUCCCCUGCUGCUUGUGUGAUGGAAAGGAGAGGUGGUGGGUUGCGCUCAUCGCGGUGUCAGGCGACUCUAGCGGCAGCCAAAUCGGCAGGAGAUAGAAUCAACCCGUGGAUUUAGGAGAUGAGUGAGGGGGGAAUUGAUCAAAGGUUCUAAGAGGAAACAAACUAACGUGGGACAGGAGGCGUCCAGGGGUGCGGGAGCCGGGAGGGCGAACGAAACGCAACGAGGGUCGGACGAAAGAACGACGUAAUAGGGGAAACGGAACUUUAUGUUUCUUUUAGAUAUAUAUAUAUAUAUGCACAGAGGCAUACAGCCAUUUCACUAAACGUGUGCUGAUCUGUUCUUCCAAAUUGUCUACAAUGAAUUCAGUACUCAUCUGAAUGACUUUCUUUCUUUGUCUCCACGGAGAGAAUUCAUAACUUAUAAAUUGGACGUUCGACACCAGCAACGAAAGAGUGGCUCACCAUUCUUCAGCGAUUCCUCCCUCAUAUGGAUUUCAUGCAGCAAUGUAGCAGACAUAGUACGACCCACCUAAUCAUCUAUCAGAUCUGGACGCUGCUUCAGAUAUGAUUCCCUUGACGAGAGCCCCAUGGGCUUGCCAUUUGAGUGCUGUGUCAACUAUCAAAAGUUCAAAACUAUCAGAUUUGUACAAACAAAAAAGGAUUUCCUGCAAAAAAACAGGAUAGAUAGAACAUGAAGCAACUUACACGCAUGAUCUCGAGAGGAUGUUGGCAGAUAGCAUCUUCCCUGCUGCAGCCGCCGCAGCCGACCGACUCAGUCGCCGAAAGCCGUAACGAUGCCUCCCACCUUGGCCUCCUCCAUUCUGCUAAGGUGGGGCUAACAAGAUGUAGGUUUUUUUGGGGGGAAACUCGGAUUGGGGAACCGCAACAAUCAGGAGCAGCGUCUCAUUGGGGAUGAGGCGAAGACGGUGGUGGCGCUGCAAGGACAAAUUGAUGUAAGAUGCUAGGGGAGGACGAACUGAGUGGGAAGGAGAUGAUCGGGGCGUGGCCAGCGGCCGGAUAGACAGCGUAUGGGCCUGACGAGACGACCCGGCGGCGACGGCCAUGGGAGGCCAGGAGGUCUCGCCCACACUAUUCCUCGAAGCCAUGGGCCAAGUUCCUCCGGAAGGCAACGUCCAUUCCCUAGGACGCCCGCGUCCGUGACCUCAGAACAUUUGCAAUCUCCUCUGCUGCUUGUGAGAUGGAAAGGAGAGGUGGUGGGUUGCGCUCAUCGCGGUGUCAGGCGACUCUGGCGGCAGCCAAAUCGGCAGGAGAUAGAAUCAACCCGUGGAUUCAGGAGAUGAGUGAGGGGGGAAUUGAUCAAAGGUUCUAAGAGGAAACAAACUAACGUGGGACAGGAGGCGUCCAGGGGUGCGGGAGCCGGGAGGGCGAACGAAACGCAACGAGGGUCGGAUGAAAGAACGACGUAAUAGGGGAAACGGAACUUUACGUUUCUUUUAGAUAUAUAUAUGCACAGAGGCAUACAGCCAUUUCACUAAACGUGUACUGAUCUGUUCUUCCAAAUUGUCUACAAUGAAUUCAGUACUCAUCUGAAUGACUUUCUUUCUUUGUCUCUACGGAGAGAAUUCAUAACUUAUAAAUUGGACGUUCGACACCAGCAACGAAAGAGUGGCUCACCAUUCUUCAGUGAUUCCUCCCUCAUAUGGAUAUCAUGCAGCGAUGUAGCAGACAUAGUAAGACCCACCUAAUCAACUAUGACAUCUAGACGCUGCUUCAGAUAUGAUUCCCUUGACGAGAGCCCCAUGGGCUUGCCAUUUGAGUGCUGUGUCAACUAUCAAAAGUUCAAAACUAUCAGAUUCGUACAAACAAAAAAGGAUUUCCUGCAAAAAAACAGGAUAGAUAGAACAUGAAGCAACUUACACGCAUGAUCUCGAGAGGAUGUUGGGAGAUAGCAUCUUCCCUGCUGCAGCCGCCGCAGCCGACUGACUCAGUCGCCGAAAGCCGUAACAAUGCCUCCCACCUUGGCCUCCUCCAUUCUGCUAAGGUGGGGCUAACAAGAUGUAGGUUUUUUUGGGGGGAAACUCGGAUUGGGGAACCGCAACGAUCAGGAGCAGCGUCUCAUUGGGGAUGAGGGGAAGACGGUGGUGGCGCUGCGAGGACGAAUUGAUGUAAGAUGCUAGGGGAGGACGAACUGAGUGGGAAGGAGAUGAUCGGGGCGUGGCCAGCGGCCGGAUAGACAGCGUAUGGGCCUGACGAGACGACCCGGCGGCGACGGCCAUGGGAGGCCAGGAGGUCUCGCCCACACUAUUCCUCGAAGCCAUGGGCCAAGUUCCUCUGGACGGCAACGUCCAUUCCCUAGGACGCCCGCGUCCGUGACCUCAGAACAUUGCCAAUCUCCCCUGCUGCUUGUGAGAUGGAAAGGAGAGGUGGUGGGUUGCGCUCAUCGCGGUGUCAGGCGACUCUGGCGGCAGCCAAAUCGGCAGGAGAUAGAAUCAACCUGUGGAUUCAGGAGAUGAGUGAGGGGGGAAUUGAUCAAAGGUUCUAAGAGGAAACAAACUAACGUGGGACAGGAGGCGUCCAGGGGUGCGGGAGCCGGGAGGGCGAACGAAACACAACGAGGGUCGGACGAAAGAACGACGUAAUAGGGGAAACGGAACUUUACGUUUCUUUUAGAUAUAUAUAUGCACUGAGGCAUACAGCCAUUUCACUAAACGUGUACUGAUCUGUUCUUCCAAAUUGUCUACAAUGAAUUCAGUACUCAUCUGAAUGACUUUCUUUCUUUGUCUCUACGGAGAGAAUUCAUAACUUAUAAAUUGGACGUUCGACACCAGCAACGAAAGAGUGGCUCACCAUUCUUCAGCGAUUCCUCCCUCAUAUGGAUAUCAUGCAGCGAUGUAGCAGACAUAGUAAGACCCACCUAAUCAACUAUCAGAUCUGGACGCUGCUUCAGAUAUGAUUCCCUUGACGAGAGCCCCAUGGGCUUGCCAUUUGAGUGCUGUGUCAACUAUCAAAAGUUCAAAACUAUCAGAUUCAUACAAACAAAAAAGGAUUUCCUGCAAAAAAAACAGGAUAGAUAGAACAUGAAGCAACUUACACGCAUGAUCUCGAGAGGAUGUUGGCAGAUAGCAUCUUCCCUGCUGCAGCCGCCGCAGCCGAUCGACUCAGUCGCCGAAAGCCGUAACGAUGCCUCCCACCUUGGCCUCCUCCAUUCUGCUAAGGUGGGGCUAACAAGAUGUAGGUUUUUUUGGGGGGAAACUCGGAUUGGGGAACCGCAACGAUCAGGAGCAGCGUCUCAUUGGGGAUGAGGGGAAGACGGUGGUGGCGCUGCGAGGACGAAUUGAUGUAAGAUGCUAGGGGAGGACGAACUGAGUGGGAAGGAGAUGAUCGGGGCGUGGCCAGCGGCCGGAUAGACAGCGUAUGGGCCUGACGAGACGACCCAGCGGCGACGGCCAUGGGAGGCCAGGAGGUCUCGCCCACACUAUUCCUCGAAGCCAUGGGCCAAGUUCCUCCGGACGGCAACGUCCAUUCCCUAGGACGCCCGCGUCCGUGACCUCAGAACAUUGCCAAUCUCCCCUGCUGCUUGUGAGAUGGAAAGGAGAGGUGGUGGGUUGCGCUCAUCGCGGUGUCAGGCGACUCUGGCGGCAGCCAAAUCGGCAGGAGAUAGAAUCAACCCGUGGAUUCAGGAGAUGAGUGAGGGGGGAAUUGAUCAAAGGUUCUAAGAGGAAACAAACUAACGUGGGACAGGAGGCGUCCAGGGGUGCGGGAGCCGGGAGGGCGAACGAAACGCAACGAGGGUCGGACGAAAGAACGACGUAAUAGGGGAAAUGGAACUUUACGUUUCUUUUAGAUAUAUAUAUAUGCACAGAGGCAUACAGCCAUUUCACUAAACGUGUACUGAUCUGUUCUUCCAAAUUGUCUACAAUGAAUUCAGUACUCAUCUGAAUGACUUUCUUUCUUUGUCUCUACGGAGAGAAUUCAUAACUUAUAAAUUGGACGUUCGACACCAGCAACGAAAGAGUGGCUCACCAUUCUUCAGCGAUUCCUCCCUCAUAUGGAUAUCAUGCAGCGAUGUAGCAGACAUAGUAAGACCCACCUAAUCAACUAUCAGAUCUGGACGCUGCUUCAGAUAUGAUUCCCUUGACGAGAGCCCCAUGGGCUUGCCAUUUGAGUGCUGUGUCAACUAUCAAAAGUUCAAAACUAUCAGAUUCGUACAAACAAAAAAGGAUUUCCUGCAAAAAAAACAGGAUAGAUAGAACAUGAAGCAACUUACACGCAUGAUCUCGAGAGGAUGUUGGCAGAUAGCAUCUUGACUGCUGCAGCCGCCGCAGCCGAUCGACUCAGUCGACGAAAGCCGUAACGAUGCCUCCCACCUUGGCCUCCUCCAUUCUGCUAAGGUGGGGCUAACAAGAUGUAGGUUUUUUUGGGGGGAAACUCGGAUUGGGGAACCGCAACGAUCAGGAGCAGCGUCUCAUUGGGGAUGAGGGGAAGACGGUGGUGGCGCUGCGAGGACGAAUUGAUGUAAGAUGCUAGGGGAGGACGAACUGAGUGGGAAGGAGAUGAUCGGGGCGUGGCCAGCGGCCGGAUAGACAGCGUAUGGGCCUGACGAGACGACCCGGCGGCGACGGCCAUGGGAGGCCAAGAGGUCUCGCCCACACUAUUCCUCGAAGCCAUGGGCCAAGUUCCUCCGGACGGCAACGUCCAUUCCCUAGGACGCCCGCGUCCGUGACCUCAGAACAUUGCCAAUCUCCCCUGCUGCUUGUGAGAUGGAAAGGAGAGGUGGUGGGUUGCGCUCAUCGCGGUGUCAGGCGACUCGGGCGGCAGCCAAAUCGGCAGGAGAUAGAAUCAACCCGUGGAUUCAGGAGAUGAGUGAGGGGGGAAUUGAUCAAAGGUUCUAAGAGGAAACAAACUAACGUGGGACAGGAGGCGUCCACGGGUGCGGGAGCCGGGAGGGCGAACGAAACGCAACGAGGGUCGGACGAAAGAACGACGUAAUAGGGGAAACGGAACUUNNNNNNNNNNCGAAAGCCGUAACGAUGCCUCCCACCUUGGCCUCCUCCAUUCUGCUAAGGUGGGGCUAACAAGAUGUAGGUUUUUUUGGGGGGAAACUCGGAUUGGGGAACCGCAACGAUCAGGAGCAGCGUCUCAUUGGGGAUGAGGGGAAGACGGUGGUGGCGCUGCGAGGACGAAUUGAUGUAAGAUGCUAGGGGAGGACGAACUGAGUGGGAAGGAGAUGAUCGGGGCGUGGCCAGCGGCCGGAUAGACAGCGUAUGGGCCUGACGAGACGACCCGGCGGCGACGGCCAUGGGAGGCCAAGAGGUCUCGCCCACACUAUUCCUCGAAGCCAUGGGCCAAGUUCCUCCGGACGGCAACGUCCAUUCCCUAGGACGCCCGCGUCCGUGACCUCAGAACAUUGCCAAUCUCCCCUGCUGCUUGUGAGAUGGAAAGGAGAAUUGGUGGGUUGCGCUCAUCGCGGUGUCAGGCGACUCUGGAGGCAGCCAAAUCGGCAGGAGAUAGAAUCAACCCGUGGAUUCAGGAGAUGAGUGAGGGGGGAAUUGAUCAAAGGUUCUAAGAGGAAACAAACUAACGUGGGACAGGAGGCGUCCAGGGGUGCGGGAGCCGGGAGGGCGAACGAAACGCAACGAGGGUCGGACGAAAGAACGACGUAAUAGGGGAAACGGAACUUUACGUUUCUUUUAGAUAUAUAUAUAUAUAUAUAUAUAUAUAUGCACAGAGGCAUACAGCCAUUUCACUAAACGUGUACUGAUCUGUUCUUCCAAAUUGUCUACAAUGAAUUCAGUACUCAUCUGAAUGACUUUCUUUCUUUGUCUCUACGGAGAGAAUUCAUAACUUAUAAAUUGGACGUUCGACACCAGCAACGAAAGAGUGGCUCGCCAUUCUUCAGUGAUUCCUCCCUCAUAUGGAUAUCAUGCAGCGAUGUAGCAGACAUAGUAAGACCCACCUAAUCAACUAUCAGAUCUGGACGCUGCUUCAGAUAUGAUUCCCUUGAUGAGAGCCCCAUGGGCUGGCCAUUUGAGUGCUGUGUCAACUAUCAAAAGUUCAAAACUAUCAGAUUCGUACAAACAAAAAAGGAUUUCCUGCAAAAAAACAGGAUAGAUAGAACAUGAAGCAACUUACACGCAUGAUCUCGAGAGGAUGUUGGCAGAUAGCAUCUUCCCUGCUGCAGCCGCCGCAGCCGACCGACUCAGUCGCCGAAAGCCGUAACGAUGCCUACCACCUUGGCCUCCUCCAUUCUGCUAAGGUGGGGCUAACAAGAUGUAGGUUUUUUUGGGGGGAAACUCGGAUUGGGGAACCGCAAUGAUUAGGAGCAGCAUCUCAUUGGGGAUGAGGGGAAGACGGUGGUGGCGCUGCGAGGACGAAUUGAUGUAAGAUGCUAGGGGAGGACGAACUGAGUGGGAAGGAGAUGAUCGGGGCGUGGCCAGCGGCCGGAUAGACAGCGUAUGCGCCUGACGAGACGACCCGGCGGCGACGGCCAUGGGAGGCCAGGAGGUCUCGCCCACACUAUUCCUCGAAGCCAUGGGCCAAGUUCCUCCGGAAGGCAACGUCCAUUCCCUAGGACGCCCGCGUCCGUGACCUCAGAACAUUGCCAAUCUCCCCUGAUGCUUGUGAGAUGGAAAGGAGAGGUGGUGGGUUGCGCUCAUCGCGGUGUCAGGCGACUCUGGCGGCAGCCAAAUCGGCAGGAGAUAGAAUCAACCCGUGGAUUCAGGAGAUGAAUGAGGGGGGAAUUGAUCAAAGGUUCUAAGAGGAAACAAACUAACGUGGGACAGGAGGCGUCCAGGGGUGCGGGAGCCGGGAGGGCGAACGAAACGCAACGAGGGUCGGACGAAAGAACGACGUAAUAGGGGAAACAGAACUUUACGUUUCUUUUAGAUAUAUAUAUAUAUAUGCACAGAGGCAUACAGCCAUUUCACUAAACGUGUACUGAUCUGUUCUUCCAAAUUGUCUACAAUGAAUUCAGUACUCAUCUGAAUGACUUUCUUUCUUUGUCUCUACGGAGAGAAUUCAUAACUUAUAAAUUGGACGUUCGACACCAGCAACGAAAGAGUGGCUCGCCAUUCUUCAGCGAUUCCUCCCUCAUAUGGAUAUCAUGCAGCGAUGUAGCAGACAUAGUAAGACCCACCUAAUCAACUAUCAGAUCUGGACGCUGCUUCAGAUAUGAUUCCCUUGACGAGAGCCCCAUGGGCUUGCCAUUUGAGUGCUGUGUCAACUAUCAAAAGUUCAAAACUAUCAGAUUCGUACAAACAAAAAAGGAUUUCCUGCAAAAAAACAGGAUAGAUAGAACAUGAAGCAACUUACACGCAUCAUCUCGAGAGGAUGUUGGCAGAUAGCAUCUUCCCUGCUGCAGCCGCCGCAGCCGACCGACUCAGUCGCUGAAAGCCGUAACAAUGCCUCCCACCUUGGCCUCCUCCAUUCUGCUAAGGUGGGGCUAACAAGAUGUAGGUUUUUUUGGGGGGAAACUCGGAUUGGGGAACCGCAAUGAUUAGGAGCAGCAUCUCAUUGGGGAUGAGGGGAAGACGGUGGUGGCGCUGCGAGGACGAAUUGAUGUAAGAUGCUAGGGGAGGACGAACUGAGUGGGAAGGAGAUGGUCGGGGCGUGGCCAGCGGCCGGAUAGACAGCAUAUGCGCCUGACGAGACGACCCGGCGGCGACGGCCAUGGGAGGCCAGGAGGUCUCGCCCACACUAUUCCUCGAAGCCAUGGGCCAAGUUCCUCCGGAAGGCAACGUCCAUUCCCUAGGACGCCCGCGUCCGUGACCUCAGAGCAUUGCCAAUCUCCCCUGAUGCUUGUGAGAUGGAAAGGAGAGGUGGUGGGUUGCGCUCAUCGUGGUGUCAGGCGACUCUGGCGGCAGCCAAAUCGGCAGGAGAUAGAAUCAACCCGUGGAUUCAGGAGAUGAGUGAGGGGGGAAUUGAUCAAAGGUUCUAAGAGGAAACAAACUAACGUGGGACAGGAGGCGUCCAGGGGUGCGGGAGCCGGGAGGGCGAACGAAACGCAACGAGGGUCGGACGAAAGAACGACGUAAUAGGGGAAACGGAACUUUACGUUUCUUUUAGAUAUAUAUAUAUAUAUAUAUAUAUAUGCACUGAGGCAUAUAGCCAUUUCACUAAACGUGUACUGAUCUGUUCUUCCAAAUUGUCUACAAUGAAUUCAGUACUCAUCUGAAUGGCUUUCUUUCUUUGUCUCUACGGAGAGAAUUCAUAACUUAUAAAUUGGACGUUCGACACCAGCAACGAAAGAGUGGCUCGCCAUUCUUCAGUGAUUCCUCCCUCAUAUGGAUAUCAUGCAGCGAUGUAGCAGACAUAGUAAGACCCACCUAAUCAACUAUCAGAUCUGGACGCUGCUUCAGAUAUGAUUCCCUUGACGAGAGCCCCAUGGGCUUGCCAUUUGAGUGCUGUGUCAACUAUCAAAAGUUCAAAACUAUCAGAUUCGUACAAACAAAAAAAGAUUUCCUGCAAAAAAACAGGAUAGAUAGAACAUGAAGCAACUUACACGCAUGAUCUCGAGAGGAUGUUGGCAGAUAGCAUCUUCCCUGCUGCAGCCGCCGCAGCCGACCAACUCAGUCGCCGAAAGCCGUAACGAUGCCUACCACCUUGGCCUCCUCCAUUCUGCUAAGGUGGGGCUAACAAGAUGUAGGUUUUUUUGGGGGGAAACUCGGAUUGGGGAACCGCAACGAUCAGGAGCAGCGUCUCAUUGGGGAUGAGGGGAAGACGGUGGUGGCGCUGCGAGGACGAAUUGAUGUAAGAUGCUAGGGGAGGACGAACUGAGUGGGAAGGAGAUGAUCGGGGCGUGGCCAGCGGCCGGAUAGACAGCGUAUGGGCCUGACGAGACGACCCGGCGGCGACGGCCAUGGGAGGCCAGGAGGUCUCGCCCACACUAUUCCUCGAAGCCAUGGGCCAAGUUCCUCCGGACGGCAACGUCCAUUCCCUAGGACGCCCGCAUCCGUGACCUCAGAACAUUGCCAAUCUCCCCUGCUGCUUGUGAGAUGGAAAGGAGAGGUGGUGGGUUGCGCUCAUCGCGGUGUCAGGCGACUCUGGCGGCAGCCAAAUCGGCAGGAGAUAGAAUCAACCCGUGGAUUCAGGAGAUGAGUGAGGGGGGAAUUGAUCAAAGGUUCUAAGAGGAAACAAACUAACGUGGGACAGGAGGCGUCCAGGGGUGCGGGAGCCGGGAGGGCGAACGAAACGCAACGAGGGUCGGACGAAAGAACGACGUAAUAGGGGAAACGGAACUUUACGUUUCUUUUAGAUAUAUAUAUGCACAGAGGCAUACAGCCAUUUCACUAAACGUGUACUGAUCUGUUCUUCCAAAUUGUCUACAAUGAAUUCAGUACUCAUCUGAAUGACUUUCUUUCUUUGUCUCUACGGAGAGAAUUCAUAACUUAUAAAUUGGACGUUCGACACCAGCAACGAAAGAGUGGCUCACCAUUCUUCAGUGCUUCCUCCCUCAUAUGGAUAUCAUGCAGCGAUGUAGCAGACAUAGUAAGACCCACCUAAUCAACUAUCAGAUCUGGACGCUGCUUCAGAUAUGAUUCCCUUGACGAGAGCCCCAUGGGCUUGCCAUUUGAGUGUUGUGUCAACUAUCAAAAGUUCAAAACUAUCAGAUUCGUACAAACAAAAAAGGAUUUCCUGCAAAAAAACAGGAUAGAUAGAACAUGAAGCAACUUACACGCAUGAUCUCGAGAGGAUGUUGGCAGAUAGCAUCUUCCCUGCUGCAGCCGCCGCAGCCGACCGACUCAGUCGCCGAAAGCCGUAACGAUGCCUACCACCUUGGCCUCCUCCAUUCUGCUAAGGUGGGGCUAACAAGAUGUAGGUUUUUUUGGGGGGAAACUCGGAUUGGGGAACCGCAACGAUCAGGAGCAGCGUCUCAUUGGGGAUGAGGGGAAGACGGUGGUGGCGCUGCGAGGACGAAUUGAUGUAAGAUGCUAGGGGAGGACGAACUGAGUGGGAAGGAGAUGAUCGGGGCGUGGCCAGCGGCCGGAUAGACAGCGUAUGGGCCUGACGAGACGACCCGGCGGCGACGGCCAUGGGAGGCCAGGAGGUCUCGCCCACACUAUUCCUCGAAGCCAUGGGCCAAGUUCCUCCGGACGGCAACGUCCAUUCCCUAGGACGCCCGCGUUCGUGACCUCAGAACAUUGCCAAUCUCCCCUGCUGCUUGUGAGAUGGAAAGGAGAGGUGGUGGGUUGCGCUCAUCGCGGUGUCAGGCGACUCUGGCGGCAGCCAAAUCGGCAGGAGAUAGAAUCAACCCGUGGAUUCAGGAGAUGAGUGAGGGGGGAAUUGAUCAAAGGUUCUAAGAGAAAACAAACUAACGUGGGACAGGAGGCGUCUAGGGGUGCGGGAGCCGGGAGGGCGAACGAAACGCAACGAGGGUCGGACGAAAGAACGACGUAAUAGGGGAAACGGAACUUUACGUUUCUUUUAUAUAUAUAUAUAUAUAUAUAUAUAUAUAUAUAUAUAUAUAUAUAUAUAUAUAUAUAUACGGCAGCGCUAUUGUGAGCGGGAGCGCAAAGUUCCUUAUUCUGCGCUCCGGCCAAACCAGGCGCCACCCUACCGACCGGCCCUACGCUUAUAUGUUCGUGCUAAUCACCUUGUCCCUCCACUUGAUAGUAAAAUGUGUGUCUUCUAUAGUAAGCAUUUUACGACGCAUGUGUGCUAACCACCUCGUCCAUCCAUUUGUUAUUAGAACCUGUGAUUUUCUUGUAGUAAACCAUUUACUACACACUCAUGUGGUAAUUUUGAUCGUAAAAAUAUGGGCACACAUCGUAACAUAUUACUAGCAGAUUGGUCUCCAAAAUCGUGUUUGGCACGUCAUUGGCCUGGUUAGGCACUCUAUAUAAUGAUGGUAAUAACAAGGGAACAUAUAGUAACAACAUCACUUCUCGUUACUGAUUGCCCUGCCUCGCAUCUCAGCCUCAAUGGUAAAGUAAUGGGUCAUACAGUACAUAGUAUAACAGAAUAAAUUUUUGUUACCGGCUGNNNNNNNNNNNNNNNNNNNNNNNNNNNNNNNNNNNNNNNNNNNNNNNNNNNNNNNNNNNNNNNNNNNNNNNNNNNNNNNNNNNNNNNNNNNNNNNNNNNNNNNNNNNNNNNNNNNNNNNNNNNNNNNNNNNNNNNNNNNNNNNNNNNNNNNNNNNNNNNNNNNNNNNNNNNNNNNNNNNNNNNNNNNNNNNNNNNNNNNNNNNNNNNNNNNNNNNNNNNNNNNNNNNNNNNNNNNNNNNNNNNNNNNNNNNNNNNNNNNNNNNNNNNNNNNNNNNNNNNNNNNNNNNNNNNNNNNNNNNNNNNNNNNNNNNNNNNNNNNNNNNNNNNNNNNNNNNNNNNNNNNNNNNNNNNNNNNNNNNNNNNNNNNNNNNNNNNNNNNNNNNNNNNNNNNNNNNNNNNNNNNNNNNNNNNNNNNNNNNNNNNNNNNNNNNNNNNNNNNNNNNNNNNNNNNNNNNNNNNNNNNNNNNNNNNNNNNNNNNNNNNNNNNNNNNNNNNNNNNNNNNNNNNNNNNNNNNNNNNNNNNNNNNNNNNNNNNNNNNNNNNNNNNNNNNNNNNNNNNNNNNNNNNNNNNNNNNNNNNNNNNNNNNNNNNNNNNNNNNNNNNNNNNNNNNNNNNNNNNNNNNNNNNNNNNNNNNNNNNNNNNNNNNNNNNNNNNNNNNNNNNNNNNNNNNNNNNNNNNNNNNNNNNNNNNNNNNNNNNNNNNNNNNNNNNNNNNNNNNNNGUCUUUCCUUUACCGGACAGCAUUGCACGGGUCGGAUGAGGCGGUACGAGAGAGGGGGCGGUUGUAGGGCAGCCGGUGGCACGAGGCAGACCGGGCGGUGGCACGGGGCGGAGGCCACGCGCGCACCACGCGCCUCCUCCCCUCCCGUGCGGCCGCAGCCAGAAAGAAAUGUCCAUGGCCACGCAGCGGCACGCGCCAGGCGGGGGCACGGCACGGUGCCAGCCACGCGCCCUCGCGUGCCCCUCUCUCCCCGACCCCGUCCCCACACACACGUGGGCUCCCUCCCUACACCCCAUGGCCCACGCCUCAUCGCCACGCCACCGCCCGCGCAACGGAACGGGCACGCCACGCGCCCCUCCGCCCCUUUUCUUCUUCUUCUUCUUCUCGACUCUCCGCCAUUGCGCUAACCAAGGACAGAGAAGCCAGGCGGCAGCAACCCCUUUCCUCCAAUCUCCGUCCAUUCGAGGUACGUACUAGGUACUACGUCGUCUGCCUCCUCCAAUCUUUUCUCUUUGGGUUUGGAUUGGGGACUGGUUUAUACGUACGGCUGACGGCGGCGGUUUCUUGGUUUCUAUCUCCAGACGUCUGCGGGGCCGGGCAAGGCAUGGUCGCCAUGCUGCCCGCCGCGAGGGGGGACGCCGCCCCAGCCGCCAGCGCCGGCGCCGCCGACAAGCUCGUCCACGGGUGAGGCCUCUUGCUUUGGAGCGGCUCCAGAUCUCGUUUCGUUUUGGGGAUUCAGCCAAUGGAUCUUGUACUGUUUAUUUUCAUUCUCUGAACGCACGCCGGGAGUAAAUGGACGCCCGUGAGGGCUGUGCCCGUGCUCCACUGCUGCUGAUGUAGCACCUUUCGAUGCGCAGGCCUGUCACCGACGGCAAGUGCAAGAAGAAGGCCCCGAGGAUGAUCCACAAGGCCGAGAGGGAGAAGCACAAGCGCGACCUGCUCAACGAUCUCUUCAGCGAGCUUGACGAAAUGCUAGGUGAGUUGAGUAGGUGUGCAUGUUUCUGAAUUCUGUCACGGCAUUGCUCCAGUGACCCUGUUCCUGAAUUUUGGGGGUUGUUUUCUUUUCCUUGUGGUUAUUUGGGAUGUUACGGUUGAGCGUGCGUGGGCAUGUGUGAAUCUGCAUCAUGUUGUUAUCAUCCAUGUCCAAGCCAAUGUUUUUGAGUGAAUAGUAGGGUUCAGUAUGUGUAAUGGAUUUCCUUAGUAAUAGUAGAUCCCAAUGAAUGUUUAUGCUGAUGAAAACGUGGAUGAACUUGACAACUUGUUACAAUCCGUCAAGCUUCAGCUUCGACAUUCACUUACGGUGUAAAGCAGCCUCAGACAAUGUGAAUGUGUACUGCCUGUUUGUCAGCAGCAUCUUACUGGUCUUGGAUUUUUCAUGCCACUCAACUAAAUUUGCCACAUUAAGCAUUGGGUUUAUUCUGAUCGAAUUCAACAUCAUUUUGCAGAAGCAGACAGGCAGACCAAUGGGAAGGCAUGUAUAUUGACUGACACCACUCGAAUCCUUCGAGACCUGCUUUCGCAAUUAGAAUCUCUCCGAAAGGAGAAUAGCACCCUGCAGAAUGAAUCCCAUUAUGUAAGUCGCUUCUAUAAUUGUGUUUGCUUCCCUUCUUUCCGCACUUGAUGGUUUAUAAUUGGUAUCUGAUGACCCUAUGGACUGCCAAUUUUUUCGUUUAUGCAUAGGAUAACUAGGCAAGAGACAAAUGCCAAAAUUAUCAUUCCAGAAUUGCUGCAAUGCAUUUUAUCACAUGAUACCUACAUACUCGAGCGGCUGUUUAUUAUCCCAUCUUCAUUCUGCCACAAACAGGUUACGAUGGAGAGGAAUGAGCUGCAGGAUGAGAACGGUGUGCUCCGCAAUGAAAUUCUGGAGCUACAAAAUGAGCUGGCGACGCUUCCCGCAGGCAACCCAGGUUGGGGCCAUGCUACUGCUGGAUCGCCUCACCCUGCGGGCACAGUUUUCCCGUCACAGCAACCAAUGCAGCCGACCACCAUCGCAAGCGCAGUAUUCCCCUUGCAGCAGCCUCUGCAACAGACAACAAUCCUGGAGCACCCUUAUGCACCACCACCACCACCACGGGAACUUAAGCUCUUCCCAGAUGCUGCGUCUGAUAUCGAAGGCCUUGAACCAUCAGAAGAUCAGGAGGCCGCCAACCAUAUUGCGCGACCGCUGGCGAGGUACCCAACACAGUCAGCGUUGUGGCCUGUAAGCCUGGGUCUCCCGAGGAUGGAAGACGAACAGUGUAGCAGUGGCACAACCGGCAGUAGCAAGGAAGGUAGUAGCUCUGCCUCUAGUAGAGAUUGAGUAGAUCAGCUCCAACCAGUCAGGAAGUUUCUCUUUGAGCGUAGCGAAUAUACACAGAUGAGCAUGUGGCAUGUAAAUACCAGACUCCAUCUUGGAUCUGGGAAUGUUAUGUUAGAUGAGAAGAUGACACUCCAAUGGGAAUCAGAAUAGCAGCAUUUCUCAUCCUUUGUGUUGCACCGUAUCAUAUAUAUGAACUGAUCUAGAUUUGAUAUUUGCAAAGAAAAACUACAGCAAUAAGCAAUGGAUUAUAUUUAUCGGUGGGGGUAACCAGAAGCGGAACUGAAGAGGAAAUUGCAGGCGACUCUCUUCAACCAUGUAGAGGGUUGCGUAGAGGGUUUCCUUUCCUUGCAUUGGGGCCAAUCUCUUCAACCGUGUACUUCCCUGAUCCAAACCCAAAGAGAAAAUAUAUGAGUUUUAAUGAAGCUAGCAAUCUGCGACCAUAUUGUUUCGGUGUCAUUUUGGAAUUUGGAGACUUAAACAAAGGCUAUCGUGUGAACUGUGACUUGCUGUUUACUGAAAAAGCAACGCGCCUCUCAAAUUAUUGGAGAAGAAAUGUCCUCCUCACGCUGUGAGAGCUCCCAUAUGUUACCCCUCGAGGUAGUUUCCCAGCCAUCCGGCUUGGUUUCACUAAAUUGCCAGAAACCACCACAAUUGCGUCGAGUGGUGCAAAAAACCCUCCAGAAAAGCUAAAAGUUUGCGAAAAGCGUCUUUUUUGGUAAUCUUUUUGCCAAAAGCACAAAACGCUUGGUUAAGAGCCAUCUAAUGAGGGUUUCGCUGUUCAAUCUGAUUAGUGGGUUUCGCUGUCACGGCUGACUAGGCACCAAAAUCUCUCACCAUUUGACAGGAAAAUUAUCCUCAUGAAGGGCCCACCUGUCAGUCUCUCACCCAUACCUUCUUCCUCUUACUCCUGUGCAGCCCCCGGCCAGGAGCCCAGGUAGACACGCAGGCCAGCGCAGGUUAGUUCGUUUUUCUCCUUGGUUUUCCAUUCGUUCUUAUUUUUCUUUUGUUUAUGUUUUUCUUUAGGGGUACCUUUUCGAAAAUAUUCUAAGUACAUAUAUUCCAAAACUUAAAUUAACUUUGACAUUUUAAAAACCACGAAUUUGAAAAAUGUUAACGCACUGUAAAAAAAAUGUUAGGGUCAUUCAAUAAAAUGUUUGUCACGUUUAAUAAAUGUUCACAUGUUUCAAAACAAUGUAUGGGACAUUUUUUAAUGUUUAUACAAUGUUAACAAUAUUCGUGUAAUUAAAAAAACUUAUCAUUCAAAAAAAUGCACGCUACCUUUAAAAAAUCUUUACUUCAAAAAUAUGUUCGUGAAUUUUUUUUUCAAAUUAUAACAGUGUAAAAAAUCAUGUAGAUUAAAAAACUAUUUUGUACUAUCAUUCAAAAAAAUAUUUCAUCAUGUAUUUGAAAAUCAUUUAACACAUAUUUAAAAAAUUGUGUUCGGAAAAAUGUUAAACCUAUAACUGAAUUUGUUUUUAAACAUAUAUAUAUAUAUAAAUUCAGAUGUAUACGAAAAAUAUACAAUGUGUAUGGAUAAAAUUGGACAUAAAGCGUAUAUUUGGAAAAAUGUUAAUCAUGUAUUUGAAAGAAGCUAACUAUGCACAAAAAAAUGUUCCUGGUGUAUAGGAAAAAUGUACAAUGUGUAUGAAAAAAAUAAACAUGUAUUGAAAAACGGAAAAAAUGAAUAAAAUCAGUACUUAAACACAGAACAUCGAAACCAGAAGAAAACAGUUGAAACCAACACAUAAAACCAAAAAAAUCAAAGAAAAGGAAACCUGAACCGGAUAAACAAACAGAAAAUCAAAAGUAUAAGAUACCUUAUUGGGCUGGCCCAGUAGCACCUCGACGCGAAAAACACUUAGAGGGAUGAGCAGCCACCAUCUCGACCAUAUAAGCGAGAUGGGACUGUCUCAAAAUAUAUAUAGGNNNNNNNNNNNNNNNNNNNNNNNNNNNNNNNNNNNNNNNNNNNNNNNNNNNNNNNNNNNNNNNNNNNNNNNNNNNNNNNNNNNNNNNNNNNNNNNNNNNNNNNNNNNNNNNNNNNNNNNNNNNNNNNNNNNNNNNNNNNNNNNNNNNNNNNNNNNNNNNNNNNNNNNNNNNNNNNNNNNNNNNNNNNNNNNNNNNNNNNNNNNNNNNNNNNNNNNNNNNNNNNNNNNNNNNNNNNNNNNNNNNNNNNNNNNNNNNNNNNNNNNNNNNNNNNNNNNNNNNNNNNNNNNNNCUAUUUAACCAUCAAUGCACCGUAAUUUUACGUUCCAUAAGUUUUGUCUUAUUUCCGACGCAAAAAGGGACCGUAAGAAAAUAUAUAAUCGUCGUAAAAAAUAUUUUAUGUUAUGUAAAAUUACAAACGUAAAAACAUAGUCUAAAAUACACAUAAACUGCAAAUUUUCUUGUCUUAUGACCUAUAUUUUUAUUUUCUUAUGUCAAAUUUUAUGUAGUGAAUCAAUAGGAAUGUAACUAUUUGAAUUCGAAACAUAAUUUAAUUAUGAAAUGAUUGUAUGAUUACCCCGGAUGAAGAAUAACUUAUUCUGCAUCCUAGGUGAUGAAUAGUAACACUAUAUAUAAGCGAGAUGGGAGCUCCCAUUGAAAUACUCAUCGUGUCCAACAAAGGCAUUUUGCACAAGAGCGCUCCCUAUUGCGCACUGGACAAUAUUUGAAAGCACAGAUUUUUUUUUUGAAUUUGUGAAGAAAUUUUGAAAACGUGAUUUAUUUUCAGUUCUAAAAAAUAUUUGUAACAAGGACCUUUUACAAAAUCUUUAAUGUUUUAUAGAAUUUGUGAAUUUUCGGAAAAUAAUAAUAAAAGAAAUGAACACAAUAAAAGGAAAACCAGAUAACCUAGUAAAAAAAUAACACAAAAAACUCAAAUAAAAUACCGGUUCACAAACCUUCUACUAAGUUCCCAAAACCGGCCAGGAACUUUCUAGAUCCGGAAAUGGGAUCAUGUACUAGGUUCUCUUCUACAAAUGAGCCGACCCAUAGGAUGGACACAACACAACACGCGUCAUAUAGAAAACUAGAUAAUACUCCGUACGUUGUUGCGGGAGUUGGCUGAUAUAUUUUUUGGUGAAGUUGAAACAUGAAUAUUGUAUAGAUGUAAACAAAUUAUGGGAAAAUAUUUUUCACAUGCACGGUUGCAUAUUUCGGUGGAUCAUUUGCCAUGGAUGGUAGCAUCUUGAGGUGGCCUUAUUUACAUGCAUGACUCUAUGUUGACAUGGCAUAGCUGCAUACUAACUUACUAGGAUAAAAGGAGAUAGUCGGGAUCAGUCUCUUAUGUAUAUAGAAAAUAGGAUAUAGGAUACCCCAAAGAAAAUCGUUGAAAACUAACACAAAAAAUAGAUGAAACCGACAAAAAAAGGAAAAACAGAAAACCAAAAAAUGAGUGGAAAACUAAAGGUAUAUCAUCCCUUCUUCGACCGGCCCAGUAACACCUCUACGCGAAAAACCCUUGAGUCAAGAGCAGCUACCAUAUCACUGUAAGCAAGAUAUAGCUCUCGCGUUCCCUCCAAAACAACGUAAGGCACGAUGGCGUGUUUCCGACAAUGGUACCGUUGAUUAAGGCUUACUACGCGGUUGCUAAAUCGUGAUGGGUUGUAUUUACUUUAUAAUUUGUUGUGAAGAAAGUAGACAUACAAUAAAUAGACAAAGUGGGUCAAAAUAAAUGUUAAGAUUAACAAAAACAAUUGGAUCAGAGUGAAAAAUCACAACACUAAAAGUUAAGAAGGCUUAGGAGGUUCAUUCAGCAUGUCCACGAAUUAUUUCUCUUUUUCUAUGAAUACAUAAAGUGUGCGUAUCUUUUUAUUGAUAAAGGGAAACAUAAUGAGUACAUGAAAGGGCACACACAAACACAUAUAUAAGAAGGUGUGUGUGCAUGGAAUCCGGAGCAGAGAGACAAGAGACGCUUAGCCCGAAUAGAGGAAAAGAAACACAGCUAAACCCACCAAGCCUGAAAGAGGGGUAGGCCGAACCGGCAUGACGUCAAACAUCUCCAAAGCCAACACCGAGGACGCCACGAGCAACCAAGAUAGCGCCUUCAAGAAGGGGAGCCGCGACAUCAUCAAUCCGAAGAAGCGGACUAAAAGAUCUUCCCCGAUGCUCGAGGAGGGCCACAGGUAAAGGCCAUGCCAGCGUCUCCAAGAAGGGAAACAACACCCGCGAGUGUUGCCGCUGCCAACGCCAACAAUUAGAGCAAGGAUUACACCCUGGCCUAAGUCCAAAUAAUCUCAUUCCCGUCAUAUCAGGAUCCGGAGAUGAGGAAGUCAGUUUGUUGGUCGAGACCACCACCUCAAAAGGGGGGGAGGGGGUGCCGCCGCGGCGCGACAGGGACCAAGCUGUCCCGCCGCCGCCAUCCUAGGGCACAACACGACUUUGCCGACAGGCCCUUCGGCAGCGGCGAUGCGGAGGGGGCGACAAGGAAUGACCCUUCCAAAGGUGGCUAGGGUUUUGACACAGUAACGCAGAGGACCAACAGUGGGGAGCUCCCAUUGGGCACAUGCAGGCAAGUGUGACGUUGCAGAGGCCGGGCUCCAUGGAGCCUGUUUUGCCAUGAAGAAUCAAAGUAUACUUAAAAGUUUCAAAAAAUAUCAAUUUUUAUACAAAUACAUACGCAUGUUCGUCAAGUAUGUAAAAAAAUUCAUCGGGUAAUUCGAUUAUUUGCAUGCUACACAAAAAAGAUUAACAUCCGGCCCUAAACCAACAAAGAUAAAGCCCAUUUUAAUCUGUGUAUUUAUCUUUUUUGUGUACAUUACAUGUGAAUAUAUAUAUGGUCAUGAAAUUUUAUACAUGUAGUAUACUACAAAUACACAUCGACGUAUAUAUAUCCUUUCAGUAUUUUUUAAUAUGCGGACAUGGUAUUCUCACUGAAAAAGAAAAAGAAAGAGCUCGGCCUCAGCAAUGCUUUUUCGACAUGCAGGCUGUUCACUUCCUUGUUUACCAACUUAUUUAGGAGAUUUCGAACUGAAAACACGUGUUGGCCGUGUCUUCUCGCCCACCCAUGAACUGAACUGCCUUUGGUUUUUGGCCGGACACGUUUGUUUUGGUGACACAAUCUAGUGAGGAGUGAGUGCACCUGGUGACCACCGCCGACUGCUCUCAGCAUGCCGCAUACAGAUUCAUACUCAUACAGGUAGGCGGCUGCUUUUCACUUUCGGCCGGUAACAGGUGAGCGCUGCGUUCACACACAUUUUUUGUAAGUCAUCGGACUAUGGGUACCUGCAUGUGCCAAGCCGACCACACAAUCAUGAUCCGAUGCUGUUGCGUUGCAUUGACCGUCGGAUCGCCGCUCUUCGUAGUACUCCUACAUUAUUAUUAUUAUUAUUAUUAUUAUUAUUAUUAUUAUUAUUAUUAUUAUUAUUAUUAUGCGUUAUGUACUUUUCUGCUGUCGUGUAGUACACGUGGUGAUGUGUGCGAGAUGCUUUGUGUCUUACCCAUCGGUCAAAUCACAUCGGCACUAACUACUUUCGUUCCCAAAAGAUGAUGUAACGCUGUGUCGACUCCGGGUCUUAUUUCGAUCAUGAAUAUGGUUAACAAAAUGCAGAGUUAUGCUUGCAAUAAGAUUCUGGUGAUGUGAAUUUUGUUUAAAAGAGGUUUCCGGUCGUAUAUACUAGGUAGUAUAUAAACCCUCGGUUCCUAAAUGUAAGUCUUUUUAGAUAUUUCAAUAUGGACUACAUAUAAAGCAAAAUAAGCUCUAAAAUACAUCUAUAUGCAUUCGUGUGUUAUCCCGAUUGAAAUAUUUAAAAAGACUUGUAUUUAAAAACAGGGGGAGUAUAUGGCACGGGCAGCCGGUAGCAAGGGCUAACGAGCCGUAGCCGGUGGAGGCAAGUUCGAAACUUGAUGGUUCGGGGAGUUCGUCUAAGAAUUUGGAUGGUUCAGGCCUUCUUUGGUUUAUAUGAUAGGAAUUUUAUAGGAAUAGGAAAAUCAUAGGAAAUGAGAUGACAUGCAUGUCAAUUCCUAUAGAGAAAGAGAUGUCAUUUGGUGCAUAGGAUAGGAUUUUUUCCAUCGAGUCUAGACUAAUGUUUUUUUUCCUCCAAAACGUGAAGGAUUGAUUCCUAUCCUACAUAGGAAUAGGAAUGCAUUCCUACAAACCAAAAGGCUUCAAAGGAAUUUUUUCUUUGCAAAUCCUAUCCUAUAGAAUUCCUACAAAAAUCCUACAAACCAAAGGAGGCCUCAACAGUUUACAUGGAUGGCCAAGGGGCGAAGCAUGGUGGAGGCAGGCGGUUUGGCCUGGCAGGAUUGGAGGUUGUCAGAGGAAGAGGAAGCCACAAAAUCGUUUUCAAGCGAUUGACCCCUAGCCAGUCCCUUCGUUAGUCAAACAGGCAUGAACUAGAACCCUCAAACCCUGGAUAAAGGACAAGCACUUCUGUCAAAUACAAGGAGAAAUGGUAGUCCAUAGACUGAUCGAACUGUAAAGUCAUGGGUGGUUACACCGACUGCCUCAUCAUCUACCUAGAUACAGACUUCGACCGGAGAGCACAUGCAUGCAUCAUCUCUAAGCACCAUCUCCAACAGAUAGACCAACUGAUCAACAUACAUCACCGAUUCACAAUUCCUCCCAACAUGUAACCGCAAAAGCCGCCUUGCUAUCCACAAAAUUCCUCUUCAGCUCCAUUCUGGACUCGUAUCGCCACAAAAUUCAGGCUUCUCCCAAAGCCGCCCAACCUCAC
rnacentral:lncRNA from 1 species